rnacentral:lncRNA from 1 species
UAAAAUCUAAAAAGAAUGCUUAGAAGAGUUUUCCUAGUCUCUGACGUGCUGUAAAGCUAAAAAAAUAUUACAGAAGACAAUAGCAAAAAAAUUAACAGCCCAAAGCUAGAAGAACAGCUUUCAAGGCAAAAGAUCAAAAGCUGCAACUUAAACAAACAUGGCCUUGAUAGUACCCGAACCCGACCAAUACUGUUGUGCAUACAACGUACUGAAAACCUAAAAUUUGCGCUGAAUUUGUUUUCCUUCGUUUGAUCUGAAGCUGCCGUCGCUCUUCAUGAAUCUUAUCGUGGCCACAACAAAUCAACCCCGCCCGUCCGGAAUAUGCAGGAGAAAAAUGCGUGUAAUUGGAAAAAAAAAAUAAUGGGAACAGCGCAACUACCCUUCUCUCUACCGAGAAAUACAAAAUUAUGCAGUUAUAUGGGAAUUGGGGCAUAAAGGAAGCUGAUUGAUGAUGCUGCCUCGUUCGGAUUAUCAGGUCUCUGAUCAAACACCUGCAGACUGCGGUUCGUAGCCUCCGCUCUGCUCAAACAAUAUACAUGGCAUCAUCAUGUAUGUGUAUAUCCCCUCUGCUCAAAUCGAACACGCAAUUAUCAUCCACACACACAAAAAGAAACAAAUCAAAUAAGGAAAAACUUUGUUCCUUCAGAUAAACGAUGGGUUGCACAAGACCCCACAGCCACAUACACUUACACAUACAUAAGCUGUUGUAUCUAUGAUCUAUCCAUGAUGGUUUCAGAGCAACAAAUGCUAAGCCGGCAUAAGUACAUACAUACAUACAAAAAUGCAAGUAGUUCAGCCAAAACUAAGCAUGCCUGUACGUCGUUUAAUUAGACUCCAAAUCGACGAGGCAUGGUGGCACUGGGGGAUGGAUGACAACGAACCUGUACCGAUUAUAUAUAUAUAUACGCACGUCGCACAUAGCAGAGGAAGGGGGAGCUUGGAGGGCUCGACCAACGGCACGCAUGGCUGGCCGGGUUGGCCGUGCUCUCAGUCUCAGUCAGAAGAAGCCGCGGCGGAGCGGCGGGGGCUGCAAGAGGGCGACGAACGCCAGGACGGCGACGGCGACGAGGAGCAGAGCCAUGAGGAUGUUCUCGUCGACGGGGAGCAGGCACACCUUCCCCAUGAUAUGCAGGGGAGCUCAACUGCAAGGGCGUUGGCAACGGCUUUGGUCAGGCCUGGAUGCGUGUUCCUUGUUGUUAUAGCUGUUCAAGUCUCUCUGUCUCUGUCUCUCUCUAGGUCAACUGCUCUGUCAAGGCAAUUUUUUCUUUGAAGCGUGAAAGGAGACGGAAGAACUCCCGGGUGGAGCUUCGUUGCGGUGCCAUGGUCCAUGCACGCGUCUCGUACCGUCGUGCUCGUACAGUUCACCUCUAUAUGGAAUUCCGUAUUAGUUUUGGUAAUAAUUUUUGGCUGGCGUUUUGAAUGGGAAUUAUUUUUUUGGCUCAUGGACUAGGUCGGUAAACAACAGCUGCAAGUUGAAUGCAACAGCGGUUUUGAAGAGACCCGGCCAGUGCAUCCUUGUCACACCAUUUGCAUCGUCAACUGCUUGUUUUCUUUUUUAUUUACAUCUUUAUCACCUGGCCUCACCUCAACAAACAAGAAUUGUAGAUUUUUCUAUGUUUCUCUUGAUAGAGGGGGGAAUUUCUUGAACCCUUCGCUGGCCUAAAAAGACAUGGCUAAAACUACUGUUCAUUGAUUUAUCGUGAGAGAAAAACACUUUUAAAACUGCAGUUACUGUACAUACAGAUGAGAAUCAUGAGUUGUCAGCUACUCCCAUGCACCAAGGCCUCUUGUUAGUAAGGCCUUGUUUAGUAUGUAUGGAACAUUAAAUAUAAAUAAAAAAUAAUUAAUUGUACAGUUUACUUAUAAUUUGCAAGACGAAUCUUUUUAGUCUAAUUAGUCCAUGGUUGGAUAAUAAUUACUAAAUACAAACGAAAGUGUUACAGUAACCAAACAAAAAAAAAUCGCGAACUAAACAAGGCCUAAGCUUCAAGGUUCAAUACUUCAGUCAUGUGGGUUCGGUAUAUGACUAAUGACUGAUAGGUCAAAGAAUAGAUUUUACCUUGAGCGUGAACAUCCGGACCUCUUUUUUUUUAUCAAGUGAACAAAUUUGAUAAGACCAUCAUAUGCAUGAGCCUUAAACAAAAACACAGACUCAAUGCACUUUUUUUUAGAUAAUGACUCAAUACACUUUUUGGAUGGCAGUAUGUGGUUCCUCCAUACUGUUCAUUGCCUGAAAAAAACUUAAAUUUCAGGUACCUGAGAAAUAGCAGCCCCCAUAGUCGCCUUCAAUCUAGACUAACAGUUUAAUCUCAAGUGUCUGAGUCUGACUCUUCAAUUUUUUGACCAACUAUACACCUCCAGAGGAAAAUAUGGUUUAAAAAUCGCACAACAAACUUCAGUUGAAAAUAUUCCAAGCCACAAACAGUGUAGAGAUUAGGCACAGGUCGUUCUCGAGGGCCGAUUUCUAAAAAUGACAGCGAAAGCAAAUGACACCACCACCACCCGCGUAUCGUUUUCAUUGUACAGUCCUUAAAAAGUCGUGACAGAUGCAGUGCACAAGGAAAACUCUAUACCAAAUCUUUUCAAUCAAGGAAAUAAUAAAGACCACAUGGUUAUGGCCAUAUGGCAAGUCAAAUAAGUCGACGAAACAUGAGGACGAAAUUUUUCGUCUUACCCUAUUGAUCAUUGGUACAAUGCCGCCUCCUGCCAAUUCAGAGUGGACACGCAAGCGCAGAGGAGAGAAACAGCACAAAUUUGCUGUCAAAGGUUGUAGAGCUCGCAAAGUGCACAACUGAACCAAAGCAGACAACAAUAAUCGACAUAAUAGCUAGUUACCACGAAUUUGUACAAAAUAUGAUGGCAAAAUGCUUCAAAAUGGACCACGUUAUCACUAUUGCAAAAAAAAAGUAAAAACUGUACCAAGAUUCAGGAGCUAAGGGGACCCUUUAACAGCUACAUGAAACUUCACAGGUGUUUAUAGAUGAUGUACACAUGAUAUUGGACUACAGUAUUCUCAAAGAAAUUACAUGUACUACAGACAUGGAACUGAAGAGGUAAUUGCCAACCAAAAUUGGCGAGGAAAUGAAGUGUUCUUUGCUUCUAGCCACCUUCCAGAUAUGGUUCAGAAUCAGAAGCACCAUAUACAGCAGCCGCGAACUGCACAUAAACGAUAGCAUAAAACACCCUGGCACCCUACACAUCUAUGAGCGGAAGUACCAGUUGGCAAUUGUGGCAACUGAGAUCAGCCACUGAUGUAAAGUACCUGCACUUGAUGACGUCCUGCUCACUUGCUCAGCUCAUGUACAUGGUGCACGAAGGGUGAAGGAAUACAAUGACAUCCUUGAACAAUAGCCAGCCAGCCUGCCUCCUUGGCCAAGUUGCAGCUUCAACCACAGCGAGGUAAGCGCUGCAGUUCAGCGCCCAAAUAAGCAGCGGCAUCAGAAAGAAGGCUAUCAUUGGAGCCCUUGAAAACUGAAACAAGUGCUUCAACUCGCAUCAAAGCUGACACUGAUAUUGACAGGAUCAUUCCCUGGGCUAAGUAUUGUCUGCAUGAGAAGGCUAGGCCAUACAAUAAGCGAAUCAGAUGUAGGGAGCUGUCAUGCUUCAGAAAGUCCAUGACAGUGCUCAAUUUAGGAAGAUUUGUCAACAAGCCCACUGUAGCCUCUCGAGGUGCUGCCUUGAGUAACAAGACUACACAGUCUGACGCUAAAUCACUUAUCUGUGGAUCUGAAUUGCCAACUAGCUCAAGAAAAAUACCCAUGUUGCCACCGAAGUCGCAUAUAUCCAUGACACAAGUUUGUUGAUCAACAGCAAUGCUCAUGCUGAAGGCACUGUCAACAAGAAGUGCUGGGUUUUUGGAGAGGGCAAUACUUCUGUUGCUCCCAGUGCCACGAAUAAUGAAAGCUCUGCAGAGUUCCAGGGUUGGUUCAAGAAAAUCAUCCAUGUCUUUUGCAGCAACAAACUCAAGUAGGUUCCCUAUUCUUCUAACAACUUGAAGCUGAGAAAGAAUAUGGGUGUCCAUCUCGGGUGCAGAUGCCAGGGCAUAGCAAAGCUUGACAUUGCUUACAUUUGCAUUUGACAGAUCUCCUAGCAAAAAUUCAAAGCACUGGGAUACUGUUGCUUUAUGCAGAAUAUCAGAGACUUUUACACAACCAUGUUCCAUUAGCAUUACUAGCAGUUUUUGUGCAUAUAUGGGUAUGGGAUCUUCAUCCUCUGCAAAAGAAGGGUACAGUGGCAAAAAAUGCCUCUGAGAGAUUGAUUUCAAAUCAGUUAUUGUCUGUUCAUCAGAAGUUAAUGAAGAGUCACUGAAGAUCACAAUCAUCACAUCUGAGAGUAUCUUCAAACACAGAAAUCUGGCAUCACCAUCUUUAUUGCCCUUGUAUAAGACAGACAAGCUUGGAAUGAUACGACUGGUGAAUAUUUUGUGUUCAUCAAGUAUAACAGAAGGCUCCUCUGUAGCAGCCUCAAGAACUCGCAACAAUGUCAUUUGGAAAUCAUCCCUAGCCUGAAAGUACAACAUGGACUUAAAUAAUCCCUCAAAACAAGGAUUUUUCAACAAAUAGAUUGUGCGAUACAAAACAUUGACAAGGCAAGACAGCACCAAAUUUGCAGUUAUACAAUGAACGAAAUCUCAACAUAAUCUCAUCAGGAUGAAAUAUCCAUAUAGCUCACAAAAACCAUACCUGAAAUGGUGCCUCCAAAAUCUUAAUAAGAUUUGCCAACUGAAGCAAUACAUGGCAUGUCACAACUCUGUGCUUGAAGGAUGCACUUCCCAGAAGAUGAAGAAUAACAGGGAACAAAUGAAUUGUGCUCUUUGGAUGAGCUCGCCCAGCUAAAGCAGUAACAGGUCCAUGGCGUUUGCCAGCCAUAACCUGCUGUAUAUCGCUGGAGACAGUGUCAAGAAUACCAGGGACCAAUGAAGCAACCAACUGCACAAAUGCUUCUGUACAUUGAUGAAUGAAACCCUCCUUCUCUUUUCCCAAUCUAUCAACAGCUGAUAUUAAUUUUGCAUUACAAAAGAAAUGUGGAAGCCACCUUCGACUAUUCUUGCAAAGCAGAGCAACAAACAAAAGGGCCUUCCCACGCAGGACAUCAGUUCCCUGUUCUAUCAGAGAAAUGAGCCCAGGGACCAAUUGUUUGUCAUCUGAUAAUGAAAGAAUAUACCGGUUUAUGCUUGUCACAGUGUGACUGUUAACUAAUGCCGAAUUGAGAAUAUUAAGACUAAUCUGCUGUUCACGUGGAUUUCCCUUGAUGAGUGUGGAUGCAAUAUCCUUGAAUGAUAUCUUUUCCAGAAUUAAGUGAAUGCAUGAUGGACUGAAGCGAGAGAGGCGGGCCAAACAAGAUCCUGCAAUGAGCCUUGUACUCUCCUGCUUUCCAGUUGCUUUAUAGAUGUAGCACAGAUGUCCAAUCGCAUCCUGAGAUGCAAAACGGGAUGUCCAUUCAGUUCCUUGGCUACAUAUAUUAUCGAUUGUCCGUAAGGCAUAUAGCUGAGCUAGAUCAUCUUCGCCCUUUCGCAAGAUAGAUGACACCAGUGCAAUUACAGCACUAGGAACCUGUACAGUUUAAACCAAGGAUUAGGGCAUUAGAAAUGAAUGGAAAGAGCUUCUUCAAAGGCAUAUGUACUAAAGCUACAGUAGGUAAAAUACUUAUGCAGUUGUUGUAUAGGAAACUAGCCUGUAUCAAGGAAUUAAGAAGUAUCAGCUAUCAGGUUAACAUUGACAUCUUUCCAUAUUAUUAUACCAAAAUAGAUAUAUUAAUCAUGAACACUGCAAAGAAAAUACUAUAAAAUUAGUUCUUCGCUAAGAUCACAACCUAGCUUGUAAAGUUUAAUUAGUUUUAAGCAUCUAUAACAAACAAGAGUUCUGCAGAACACCAAAAAGUUUACACUUACACAUGAAUAAUGGCAAGAGCAUGUCUAGAAUACAAACACAAUCGUGCUACAUCAAUGCACUUCGAAUGUACGUGAGCAGUACUGCAGUGUGCUUAUGUGAAUUAUGAGAAAAAUUCAACAACUAAAAUUUCCAGCUAGGAACAUCACCAGAGGUAAAGGCAACGAUGCACAAGAACCAUUACUGAUUAUUAGAUAUUUCUAGGACCCAGUACUUUACUAAGGUAAUGUAUCAUCUAACUACACAAUAUGAUCUAUAAUAAACUUGACUAACUAAAUCAACAAAACAAUAACAUACUAGUUACUACUUAUUUUGAUUCUGACCUGCCAAGAUGUUGCAGACCUGUUAUCCUUCAAAGGGGAUUCUUGGGUAUUGAUUUCCUUCGUAUCUUGAUCAGACUGGGUAGAAAUAUAGAAUAAUAACUCUCCUAGUGUUGCCAUGCAGAAUCGCCUGAGUUUAUCAUGUUUAUCCCUUAACCCAUCUGAUAGUGCAUUAAAAAUUCCUGAACUUGCUAGCUCCACAUCAAGAGCAGUGGAAUAGCGUAUCAGCAACCCCAUAAGUGAGGCAAUUUGGACACGCAAGACUGAUGUUUUUGACAGUCGAAGCAUUUUUAUUAGUAGCGACAUAACUGGUCCAUUAGUUAUUUUGUUCGCGGCAUCUGAGUUCAUGCUUAACAUCUCCAGGUACCUGAUAGUAUUUUGUUUUUCUGAAACCUGAUAAGUUCCACUUAAACUCUGAAGUAUCUGACUGUUGAAUGCAUUCAUCUGUUCCUGUGGUAACUUAACAUAAUCACUUGCUGUAAGAGCUUCAAAAGGAAGUGUGGGGACCAUGUCCACAGCUUUAUCUGCUUUCCUACUAGGCAUAACUGGUUUAACUGCAAGAUCUGUUGGAUGCCAGAAUGCUUCAAAGAUGUUAGAUGGCUCAGAACCAGUUGCAGGGCAUGGAGCUACCUUUGCACGCUGUGCUUUUCGCAUGCUACUAGGUGGUGUAGCCGCCACAUCCAUAUUAUCUGAACAAGAAUUCUGCUCAGUUUUCACCAUGAUAUCAGGCUUAACUGACCCCUCAUCUGUAAGCAUGUCAACCUGAUUUGCCAUACAAUUCUCUUCAUUAGCAUCAGUGCUUUGAGGCUUUUCAUUUCCUGCAGAUCCAGGAUUAUCCGAUCCAUCGGUGUCAUCAGGUACAUCACCCUCUGGAUUUUCACCAAAAUCAAGUUCCAUGUCAUUAUUUUCUAUAUUAACUUCAGUCUCAUUCUCAGUUGUUUCUGUUGGAGGACGCCUGUAGUUCUCCUUAUCCCUUUCCCUUUGCAAAUUUAACUUAGCAAUGCGAGACAUUCUGAGGAUAUUUACACCUUUGAAACCCUCAGCUUUUGGUUUUGCACUGUUUUUCUUGCCACUUAGCACAUUUUUAACAGGUGUCAUGAAUGCCUUUGUAGAAUUUUCAUCCUUCUUCCGAUGGCCACUAUAUUCACGGUGCUUGGGUGGUGUCAACUGUCUAGAAGGUUUGUCACCAUUUCUCUCAGCUAGAUAUGGUGCAGUAGAAAGUUCAAUCAUGCUGUCAAAAGCAGGCUGAGGAGGUAAAGAAAUCAUCGGGAUACUUGUUCGCCAGAAGUUGUGUUCACACAAUUCAGACCACUGUAAUCUUUCUGCCGGAUCUUUCAUGAGCAAGCAAUCAAUCAGAUUUUGGAAGGACCUUGAUGGAUUAUCAGGUAAAGGUGGUGUAGGAUCCGAGAUUAUAGAUUUGACCAACUGUGUAAAUUCUCUGCCUACAAAAGGGGGCCUUCCUGUAUAGCAUUCAUACAAAACACAUCCAAGUGCCCAGAAAUCAGAAGCAUAUGAGUGGACUCCUCCCUCACGAAAUAACUCAGGAGCCAUAUAGCAUGGUGUUCCCCUCAUGGGUUGUGGCACCUAUAAGACAGUAGAAAUUAAGCAUAGGGAUAUAAAUCAAAUGGAAAUGAAAACAUGAGGAAAGGAAACCUUGUACUAAAAGAAAAUGAAAGCUUACAUCUCCAGGAUUGGUUUUCUCGAUGUCUUUUAAGCGCCUUGCUAAUCCAAAAUCACACAGCUGGUACAACAAAGCGAAAGAAAAAUAGCAUUGGUUUUGAAUUAUUAUGCCCUGCUUUGAUAGUGGAGUGGUAAUUUUGCUGUGGUUCAGUAAGUACCUUCAUGCAUCCAAAUUCAUCAAGCAGAAUGUUUGAUGGCUUCAGAUCACAAUAUAUAAUUCCUUGAGAAUGCAAGAACCUACCCAAAUGUUCCCAGUAAAUCAAAGUUCAUCGGUUAUUAUGAAAAUAAAUCAUGAUAAAAGAUUGCAAAAGAACUUUACUGAAGAGCUUUGACGAGAUCAUAAGCCAGGUCAUGUAUAGAAUUUUCAGGAAGCUUCUUAUCCUGCAUGGAAGCAUAAUCAAUGAUGAAGAAACAGUACAUAGAGGCAAAACAGCAAAAACAGGGUAACAGCUAAGUAACAUGUGAUACAAGUUCCAUAUAUGUACUCACAAGGUGGUUGUUGCCAACACAUGUACGAGAAAAUAAUUAGAAAGCCAAAUACAUAGAUGAUUGUUCAUUUGUUCUAUCAUUUUCGCAAGCCAAAGUGUACUAUAAUUUUUAGCUCUUAAUUUCAACAUUCACCUUGAUUACUAUUAUUUUUUAAGCACCCAAUUAGGCAAUUACAAGUAGGAAGUGCAAACCAAUAAUGUUGUAUUUUUUCUGCAUUGAUGUAUAUGGUCAGUACUUGCUAACUUAAACAGACUAGUUACAAUUUCUUAACCACAUAAAUACAUGGCACACACUGUAUAUCCUGUUAGAGCUAGAGAAAAUUGAAUGCAGUAACUAAAUUGACAAGCAAGAAACCUGUUCAAGCAAGCCCUUCAGAUCUCCACCAACGCAAUACUCCAACACUAACCAGAAAUGUGCAGAGGUCUCAUACCUGGGGAAGAAAAGUACAAUAUAAGUAUGCUAUGUACUGGGCUGGUCACAUUAUAGAGCCAUAGAAGAAAAAGGGCAUCAAACUAUUACCAAACUAGAAACCGUAGUCACAUUGCAAAAUCAGAGAAGCUGAAUCUAUAGGAGAACUCAAACACCCAAGAACCUUACCAAGAGUAAAAUUUCAGGACAUUGGCAUGGUCUAAGGAAUGGAGCAUCCGGACCUGCAAAGAUAAGUUCAAAAGCAAAAUUAGUAUGAAGGAACAGAACUAGAUAAUUAAACAAGUACAAGAAUGCCAAUAGUUGUAUAAUCAUGCUCCCAAAGCAUGACAAAUUGAUCUCCUAGACAACAACAUCUUACAACAUUAUUAACCUUCACAGUUAAGUAAGGGACGCACUGAGCAAAACAGGUGACACAAAAGGUAUUCUUCUUCAUAAAAAAGAAACAGUUAUGCUCCAUACAACACAGCACAGCAUCAUCAUACGCAAACGCAAACUGUAUUACUGUAACAUGUCUCCCAUGGGCAUUUUAUCAGUAAUUAGCCACUGGAAAUAUAAAAUCAACAAGCCUAACUGUCGGCGAUUUAAGGUUUGGUAAGCCCUGCCAAAUAUAUAGUUCUGCAUAAACAACAACACCUAACCGAUCCUAAUAGCUGAAAUGGGAUACAUCAAGCCCUCGAGAAAAAUUAACAACCUACGACCACAGAAAGCAAAGAUGUAGCGAUUCAACCACGGUGAUUCACGAUGCACGCGGGGAAGGAGAGGGCUCACCUCGUUGAGGACCUUGGAGCGCUGCGACUUGUCGACACUCUUAACAGCGAAGUACUCGAUGGUCUUCUUCUUCCGCCCCUUAUACACCGUCUUCGCUCCAUACAACCACCAGCACCAAAUCACACAACGAACCAGAGAAAAAACACAGAAAAAGCACAAAUCGCUCGGGCUGGAGCCCGGGCCGCCCCGAUCCCCGCGGAUCCAGGGCGGGAGAGAGGGAAAAGCGGAACUGAAACCAUCCGGAGCGGGGGGAAAGGGAGGAGAGUUACCGAGUGCUUGCCGCGGCCGAUGGCCUCGUAGACAUGGAAGUUGUUCAUAGCAGAGAAGCAGGAGCGGAGGCGGAGGCAGGGCUCCCCUCUCGUCGCCGGUGAGGUUAGGGUUUGAGAUUCGGGAGGCCGAAGCCUGUGGGAGGAAUGGGGGAGGAAGACGGGGAGGGAUAUGGGGGUGAGAGAGAGUGGGGGCGGGAUUUUGAAUUGAGACGGCCGCUCUCGCUCGGCUAGUUUUCGAGUUUUGGGCCCGUGCCCUUGCGUGCGGAGGCGCUCCUCCUGCUAAAAAAAUCCACCUCUUUUGUCACGUACUCACUUCAUCUCAAAAAAAAAACUAUUAUUGUUGACUUUUAAACAUCUUAUUUGACCAUCUAUCUUAUUAAAAAAUUUUAUAUAAAUAUAGUCUAUUUUGAUAUAACUUAUUUGGUCAUUAAAGAUACUUUAAGAAUGAUUUAUUUAUUUUAGAAUUUGCAAAAAAAAUAAGAUGAACGAUCAAACAUGAUAUGUCAAAGUAAAAAACAACAGACUUUUUGAAACGAAGGGAGUACUGACGUUGAUUUGGUUGCGUUUUUUUCACCAUUUGGGCAUUGUUUAGUUCCAAAUUAUUUGGCAAAAUGGAUAUUGUAGCACUUUCGUUUGCAUUUGACAAAUAUUGUCCAAUCAUGAACUAAAUAGGCUCAAAAGAUUGGUUUUGUAAAUUACAGACAAACUGUGUAAUUAGUUAUUUUUGUAUCUAUAUUUAAUACUCCAUGCAUAUGCCGUAAGAUUCAAUGUGAUGGGAAUCCUAAAAAUUUUGCAAAUUUUUUUGGAAGUAAACAAGGCCUUGGGAUCCUGAGUUUAUUCUCUUAUUGGUACUCCCUUCAUCACAAAUUAUAAGAGUUUCUAAGAAUCUUAGAGAGUCAAAGUAUCUUAAGUUUAAUUAAAAUUAUAAAAAAUAAAGAUAAUGACAUCAAAUAGAUAUACUAUGAAAAUAAAAUUAAUGAAGAAUCUAAUGAUACUUAGUUAAUAUCAUAAAUGUUAUUAUCUUAUCAUAUAAAUUUGGUCAAACUUAAAAUGUUUUGACUCUUCAAGAUUCUUAAAAUGCCUUAUAAUUUGGGAUGGAGGAAGUAGGUGCUACUUUGUAUAUAUUUCGUCCAUUUUAACUUAUAUAUAUAUAUAUCGUUUUAGUUUUUCUAAAUACAUAUUUUUUAUUAUGUAUUUAGAAUUUUUACGUGCAUAACAAAAACCAUAAAAAAAGACAAAACGACCUACUCCCUCCAUAAGAUCGAAGAGUCAAAUUUCCUUUUAAAUUUUUAAGUUUUACUAAGUAUACAUAGAACAAUAUCAAUGUUUAUAUCGGAAAAUAAGUGUAGUAGUAAAGUAUAUUCCGCAAUUAGUCUAACAAUAUUUAUUAUACAUCAUAAACAUUAAUAUUUUUCUGUAUAUAUUACAUAAAACUUAGAAAUAUUUGACUACUCGAUAAGUGAGAUGUGCACUUACUUUAGGACGUAGAACAGGGUGUGAUAAAAUAAUAGACGUAAAUAUAUGACUUUCUUUUGCAAGGAGAAUACAGGACAUUAUUUCAAACCUUAUUUUCCCAAAGUGUGUCAUUUGGUGUUAUAAAUCUAACGUAGAAGCAUUUUAAAUAUGAAUCCGAUUAUAAAUUUUUACACACUAUGAAAUGUACUCAUAGCUAGUUUGACUAUCUUUUCUCAACAUAUGUAAAAUUUGACUUUUUAAAAUAAAAUAUCGUUUAUAUUUUUCCUUUUUUGAAUGAUGGUGAGUCUAAAUUUAAUUAUUAGGUAGCGCCCCAAAGUGCCCCUGAAUAUAUAUUUUUGGUAAGUACACGUAUUUGUUAUUGUAGAUAGUAAUACAUUUGUAUAUGUUUUGUAAAAAAAAAUUGUAUAGUUAAGUCAAAUUUAGAGACCUUUAACUUAAGAUUACUAAGUAUAUUCCUUAGAACAUUCGAAGUAGCCCGCUCAAGUUAAAUGUUCGAUUUACCGCAAAGCGAUCGGAGCAAUACUGCUGACUAAUUAAUCUAGGGGCAAGGAGAUGGACCCCUCGGACAUGUAUUUGCAUCACCUAUAGCAACAUCUUGCACUCCCAGCAAAAAUAAUACAGCACAAAAUUUCAGCAUCAAUGUUUGCAUCAGUAAGCACUGCCACAAGUGGCAAAAGGUCAUAUAACUGAAGACAUCAUGAUCGAGCAGUAAAGUUAUGCUACUCCGUAUAAAUUAUAGUAUAAUGAUUUGGAAUGUAUAAUUAUGGGCUCUUAACCCAGUCAAAAUAUGCAAAGCUACAAUAUGCUAGAACCCAGCCAGUUACCAAUUCCUAGUACAAAAUUCCUAUGUUCCCUAAAUAAUAUUUGUAGCUUCAGAAGAGUAGUACCAGCUCGGUGGUUUAUUUUGGUCGUCGGUUUAGAGCAGUUGAGCACCAUCAUUAGUCCUGCACAAUCUCAGAGCUUCAGGCGGAAAGAAUUUGGCAAAAAUAGGGAGGUGUGUACUCUGACAGCUUAUUUGCAACUGUCAACUUGGGAAAAUUGUCCUUCAAAGCUGCUUGUCAGCUUCUCGGCAGCCGCAUCUACCCUCUGGUUAUCCUGAAAUUACGAUAACAUAAUUAUGUAAGAAAAAUAGUGUUUGCAUGGACUAAAAAAUGAUAAUAGAAUAGCUACUUUUCCUAUUCGACCUAUGAGUAUGCGAGAUAAAAUACUUCCGUGUUAUCAGUCAUGCCUAUAUUUUCAUUAGCUCACAUAGUUUUGCUUUUGAGAAAACAAGUGUAACUGUGUGCAUUAGCUGAAAUCCUCCUUAAUGAGUAGUAGUAGUGAAUAAAUGCAACUUGCAAAUAUACUACUCCCUCUGUAUUUUAAUAUGUGAGUUUAAGACAAACUAAUUACUAGUAUAAUUUUUCCUUUAGUUUUCUGUUAUAACAUCGUAUAGAAAAUACAGAGGGAAUAGUAUUUAUGAUCACUUGUGGGAUUAAAGUAGUCAUCUGAACUGUCCAGAGAAUUCACCAUCUACCUUUCCAGUAAGAUUCACAACCAAAGGCCCAGCUCUUGAUAUCCGAUGACACCCUGCACGAGAUAUAUCACCAAGUGUAAUCAAGCAGGUCACAAGGGCACACAAGCUACACAAAAAUAAGGGGAUCUGAGAUCCCCUCAGGCAUCAUACCUAUGUAAACAUCAGAAAACUCUAAGCACAGUUUUGCAAGGACCGGAGCAAUUUGAACCUGAACAAGCAUGCAGCAGAUAAGUUCACAUUAGACCAAUAUUUGGGAAAAAUACAAGAAUAUACAUUGAACAACAAUGUAACUCAUGAAUCAUGAUUCUUGAUAUUUAUCCAGUUACAGUAUUCUGUUAUAAACCCCAAGGUACCAUCUGGAAUCAUAGGUAUAUUCAUUCCCAAAAAGUUUAAAGGAGUAUAGUUUGGCAGAAAUAAUAGGUUCAGUCAUAGACAUAAUGAUCAAACAAAAUUAUGACUAUUGAGGACAUAUGAGUUUUUUCUACUUUAAAGUUUUAAAAGAAAAUUAAUUUGUGGCUAAUUUGAACUGAACAGGUUCAAUUGCUCAAUCUGAAGCAAUCAUUCCCAAGAAAAUUUGGUAUGUGUUUCCAAGGAUAGGCUUUGAGACAAAUGACAAAUCAAUUAUGGCAGGGAGACAUACAUCUGAAACUGUAGUGCUGAGAUGCUUUGACACAAAAGGUUUUGUUGGCAUUAAACCACUCUCCUGAGUAUCUAGAAGACAAUCCCACUCGGUGUCUAGUUCAACCAUAUUGGUUGCACCAAGAGCAAUGACAUUUCUGCAUUUGAUCUGCAUAAGGAAAAAAUAUCUGUAAGGCAAUACAUAUGAAAUUGACUACAAUAUUCAAAAAUAAACAUGGUGAUACAACUUUAAAAAUAUAUGUAUGCAUUUUCUUAUCAGCUGCUGGUUCAAUGCCAGACUUUACAUUCUCGCAUGCCCCAUAAGCUUACAAGAUAAGAAUAGGUAUCAUUUUUAUUUAUGUUAAAAAAAAUUAUAGGAACUUGACCGUUACCGCGUCAGAAUUAUAUCAUAGAACCUACUAGGUCCUUAGGGCAUCAGGAGUGUUGAGAAUUCAUCGACCUUAAGACCAACAUGGCAGAUUUAGGGUCGACCAUAUACAUAGUAGCCAUCGAGCUUAGCUAAGAAAAUGUAAGACCGGACCUCAAGCUAACGACUCGGCACUAAGGAUAAAAAAAAAUCCUUGCCGUUGCCUCAGGCCUCAGGGGCAGCAGCGGCGAUGGACAGUGAGUACGUGAGAAGGUAAGAUGAGGUUUUUAUUUUAGAUGUAGGACCCAGCUAAAGGCCGAUCCGGCCUUAUACAUAAGGCGUGUGACUUUUGAAAUUAAUGGAACCCAUGCUAAGGCUGAGGUCGGUCAGUCGUAUACAUACACUACUGAUGCCCUUAGGAAACCCAAAAAAGAAAAUAUAGCUUCAGAGUUCAGAAAUUAGAACAGACGUAAAUGCACCAAACUACAGAACAUACCAAUGGUAAUGGUAGCGUUUUGUGAUGCAGUAAUUCAGUGAUACCUUCUGGCAACUGCGCCAUCUGGAAAGAAAUAGAAAAAAGUUAACUCAUAAGUCAUAAAGGGGGUGCACUUUGCUAGAAUAAGCACACGCAAUCACAAACCAAAUGUACAUUCAAGAAGUUUAAUACUUGGAGCCCAGAUUACCUCAUUUCGAUCACCGGUGUAAUUGUUUCCCAUGAGUUGACUAAGAUAAUCCUCAAACUCUUCAUCAGGAGCCUAUGCUAAUGCAAAGCAAAGAUGAGUUGAUACUAGGAAAUGGCAUUUUGUCAAUUUAAAUAAAUAAUGAAACAACCAUUUGAUAUACAACAACAAUUCAUAGUUAUGCUAUUAAGAGGAUCCUACAUUUCAUAAUGCAGCCACAAUAUGGUUUUCUUGUGCCAAUAGUGCAGCCCUAUAGGUCAAUGCACAAGCUUUUCUUCAUUGUAGAAUAAAAAAAUGCAUAAAAUACACCGCACAAUAUCAUAAUAGCGAGAAUUUAUAUAGAAAAGGUCAUGAAUGAAGAAAUACUACAAAAAUCCAUUUUUGCAGCAAGAAAAUGUUAUUGGACGCACCAGACGAACUCCAAAUGCUUUUGCGACACCAGCCAAAGAAACAUCUGAAUGUAGGGGCCCAAGUCCACCAAAAAUAAACACCUUAAAUACAAAAUGAAUUUCAUUACACAACUAGCUUGAAAAUUUUAUACAACUAAUAGCCUAUAGGCACUAACCAUGUCAUCAACAGAUUUACAUCGCUCAACUUCUUCAGCAACAGAAUCAAUCUGCAAGGCCACACAGAUACAUUCUGUUAGAUUACAUGCCAGUAGUAUUUGAGAAAGAAUGACAUGACAGUGGCAGCUAAUUAGAAUAUUUUAUACCAAAACACAGCAAUAUAUCAAGGCAAUGUGAGCUGGGACAUGGAUUUAGGCCUCCUUUGGAGGCCAGGAAUUUCCCAAGAAUCAGUUUUUUUUAACACCGCCAGGAGCAGCAUAUCAUAUAAGACUCAUAUUGGACACCUAUACCGACCGCAUGCUCAAAUACAGGUGAGACUGCCCAAGAGAUCUCAGAACAUGUCUACCGAGUACACAUGCACACACAUUACCCACACACGCUGCUCAAUUCCCUCAAGUGAAAACCCCAGUGCCACACCAGCUCAUCCCAACACUGGGAAUCAAACCCAGGCAGGUGACCUCUGCUAAAGGAGGAUCCACCGCUGCAUCGUGAGCGUGUUGGCGAAUCAGUUCAUUUUCAAGGGAAAACACAGGAAACAUGAAAAAUUCCCGCGUUCCAAAGGGGUCCAGGGUCAUAGUAUUACUCCAUCAGAUCCCUUUUAGAAGGCAUACUAAUAAAAGUUAGAAUAGAAAGACAUGUAUUUAAUUUUCGCCAAGGAGCGCUGGCCGAGUUCUGCAUGUGGCCAUGCAUGCAGUUGUUGAACUGAACCUCAAAAAUGCAUGUGCUGAACAGGCAUGCAUGCAAAAAACAAUAUUAUAGUCCUACUACUCGUGUGCACACCGCAUGCAUGACGGUACAACUCUCUGUAUGCAUGUAAUUACUGCUUGCAUCUCGUUUUUUUUGUUAAACUUUGUUAAUGCGGCCUGAUAUUCUAAGGAAUGCCUUCUAUAACGGACUUGACAAAUUUGUUGGUGCGCCUUCUAAAAGGGACCAGAGGGAGUAUUUCAACAAGUGAACUAUAUUUACCUCAUUGCGAACAACUGCUACAUGAGAAACCCGCCAGCCAAUUGCAUGAAGCUUCUUGCACAAGGCCGCUCCUAAGUUAUCCUCAGUUGUACCAAACCUGAAGAAUCAAAAUGAAAAGGUAUGGACUAUAUGUUAAAAAUAGAGGUUAAUAAGGAGAAAUUUUACACAAAAACAUUGAGGUCUGGUUAUCCAUCAAAUAUUUUUUUUAAAAAAUGGAUUUUCAGGAAACAUGAAAAAAUCUGAAAUAGUGUAGCAACAUUGACUUGUCUGGCAAGUGGCAACCCUAUUAUAAGUCGACUAACACAAUAUAAAUCUCUACUUCAGAAUGCCUGGCUACACUUCUCUUAUCUCUCUGAAGUGUCCAGAUUAUCAAUCCAUAUAAUUCAAUCAUCCAUCCAAAAGGUAAAACCAAAGAUGCAAGAAUUUUCAGGAUUGGGGCACAAAUUUCAAGUAAAUUAAAAGAUCAUGGAUUCCAUUACUAUCAUGAACUACUCCAAGCGUAAGAACCUGAAGCAUAACAGAAUAACAUCAAAUGUGAUAACUAGAAGGGAUCACUCACAAAAUUUCAUCACCAACUACAAUGAUUGAUGCCGCACGUGAGACCAUUUGUCCUCCCUCAGUAAUGUUCAUGCCAUUGCUUGCAACAGAAUUCAUUUCUACUUUAGGAUUAGUUUUUUUUGUUCGACCAGCUCUUUCAAGCCUUCCAUCUGUUAGCAUGUAUGCUGGUCUAAAACUUUUCUCCGUUGAUGAAUCACUAAGAAGUGCAUUUGGAACAGUAUCAUGUAUGCUCCCAAUGGAAGUAUACCUGAAAUCAGUAUAGAUGGAAGAUGUAAGUUAUAUUGCAAAGUUAAUAUCAAAGACCAGAAUACUUCUGCAGUGGAUUCACAACUAGAAAUAGGAAGUCUUGAACAUAAAAUAAGAACCUACCCUUGAUCAUAAAGGCUGCAGUAUUUGACCUUACAUGUUAAUAGAAAAGACCAAACAUCCCUGGCACAGAAAAUAAUGCUCCUUAGCAUCUGAACAAGCAUACUGACAAAAGGCAAGGCCUGAUUUGUUACAUGAUCAGGAAAAAAAAACCUGUAUGACCAAUCCAAGAUCGGAUUCACCCUCAUAAAAGGAGGCCAGCCAGGUGAACUAGGAGAGAACUGUUCUUGACCAACCUAUCAUUUCAAAAUUGUGUUUACUCAAAGGUCGGUGAGAUACCAAAAGUGUAAGGAUCUGGGAAUACCAUACGCAUAAUCAUUGCGUACAAUACGUGCAAGGGGUUGUUAACAAUAAAUGAACAAUGCCAAAAGAAAAUCACCGCAUUUGGAUCACCAAUUCUUGUGCCAAUGAAAAUUGCUUUGGUGGGCUUCUCCUUCAGAAGGCCUUCUAGACCAGACUUGAAAUCCGAAUGGAUAGUUUCCAGUGGUAACCCAUAACUGUGGAGCGUGGAGACAAAAUAGAACGAAUAACAUUCAAAUUUUGCUUCUCUAAUAGCAGAUAGCUAAGUGUAAACUUAGACACAUCUUAGCCAGCUCUUACGUUGAGACAGUCUCAUAAGUGAAUGAGUUGAUUUCAGGAAAAGCACAAGGGCUUUCAAAAUAGAUGGUACGCAGUGGACAGUUUUUAACAGCAUUCAUUUGGGCUAUAUCACCAGAGUCCUUCUUGUAAAGGUAGUAACCAGCUCGAAUCAAAUGCAGGAGCACCUAUCAAUACAUAACAUGGGCAUCGUAUCAAACUUACAGAUAUACUAAUCGACACUGAUCAUACAAUAACAUGAUGAGAAAAAGAGAACACAAAGAUAUUUACAGUUGAAUCCUUCCCACCAUUAAAGCUGAAGGCAAUUUCCUCAAACCUGUAAAGUCAAACAAAUGAGGUUAGACAGCAAUGAUGGGAAUAUCCUCUGGUCUUGGCAUUCAAUCAGCCACACGAAUCCUCUCUUUGGGGGUGGGGGGGGGGGAGUAAAAAGUAUAGUUUGAAAAAUUAUGGUAACAUUUCGAGCACAUCUAAUUUGUACCCUGUUUGCUUGCAGAACAGAAUGAAACACGUAAUUGAUUACCCAUAGAUAGCAUAAAUCCAAUUAGAUGCAAUAUUUUAAGAUCACUGUACACAAGAAUAACAGCUUCAAGUUAAGAUUAAAUCAUAGACCUGCAUCAUGGGUUUUAUACCUCCUAAGGGUGCAUAUGGAGCUGAUUACUGUUCCUAUUAUUAUCAACCUAAGUGGUAACUACAGACAAAACUGUUAAUAGCAUAAUGUCCUCUAAAGUAAUUUCUAACACUUUGAUCAUCGGCAGUGGCCUAAGAACAGUUAGAACAACCCGAGUGAACUGCAGCAAAAGCAAUGUACCUACAUUCUGCUGUUUCAGGACGCCGACUGGGACCCACCCACCUGAACUAGUGGUUCAGAAGUUCAUGACCCAAGCCAAAAAUCCAAUUGCUUAUGAUUAUCUGCUAGCACCCCAGUCCCCAGUAGAUGUCUGGUGAGCAAGCAGUCAGACAACAAUUGUGCAAUCGAUUUAAGCAACCUCCACCCGAUAUACAAGUACUAGUAUGUCGUUGCUGCAGUGGAGCAUAUAAGGAGACAAACAGUGACAGAGACAGGCUGCGCGAGUGCGCGUUGGAACCGAAUGCCUGCAGCUCCAGACAGUUUGAGAUCUACUCCGUGAGCGCGCGUCAACUCGAUGUUCUCGCCGGUGGCCGACCACUCCCCGCCGCCUCCCUCCCCAAAUCCGAACCCACGCCUAUCCCUCCGCCGGAUCAACCGGCACACUAAUCCAAACCACGGAGCAGCGCAAGCUCAAGACGGCGCGCGGCACCCACAGCCGCGGACCCGAUCGCACGCGCGGCGAGGCGCUCCCCUCACCCUGAAUCUCGAGCUCCCUCUCUCCCCACCUCCGGCGCCACUGACCCAAUCCAACCAAUCCGCGCGUCCCCCGUCUCAGGAUGUGGAAGAUGGGGAAGCUUACGGGUAGAGCGCGAAGGCGCGCUGGACGACGUAGACGGCGUUGCCGUACUUGGUGCGCAGGCGGCGGUCGCUGCACCCGCGCACCGCCUCGUCGAUCUCCAUCCUCCGCUACUGCUCCUCCUGCUCCGGCGAGGCGGGAGCGAGGGCGGUUGAGGAGUGGUGGGAGGCGUGCGUGCGUGCACGACUCGGCUGUGUUUGCUUGGGAGAGGGGAGCGGGGGCCGCGGAGACAAACGCUUCGCGAAGGGAUCGGCUGGCUGGCUGGCUAGUUGAAGGGGAGCUGCUCGUGCUCCGCCCGCCGCCUGCGUGGAUAGACUGCCCGUUUCGGAUCUUUUUCUCGCCUUCCCGGGAAUUUAUUUAUUAGGCCUUGUUUACUUCCCAAAUUUUUUACAAAAUUGCUACAGUAUCUUUUUCGUUUAAUUGUGACAAAUAUUGUCCAAUCAUAGACUAACUAGGCUCAAAAGAUUCGUCUCGUCAAUUUCGACCAAACUGUGUAAUUAGUUUUUAUUUUCAUCUAUAUUUAAUACUACAUGCAUACGUCUAAAGAUUCGAUGUGAUGGGGAAUCUGAAAAAUUUUGCAAAAAUUUUGGGGAACUAAACAAGGCCUUAUCUGUUUAGGCCUUGUUUAGUUGCCAAAAUUUUUCAAGAUUCCCCGUCACAUCGAAUCUUGCGGCACAUGCAUGAAACAUUAAAUAUAGACGAAAACAAAAACUAAUUUCGCAGUUUACCUGUAAAUCGCGAGACGAAUCUUUUGAUCCUAGUUAGUCUAUGAUUGAAUAAUAUUUGCCACAAACAAACAAAAGUGCUACAGUAGCGAAAUUCAAAAUUUUUCCAAAACUAGACGAGGCCUUAUAUUUCGUCGGAUAUAUAUACUGCCAUUGCUGCUGCCAGCGCCGUGGACAUGCCGUGGCGCUGACGUGGUGGAAAGGUGUCCUCGGAGUGGGCCCCGGACUCUGUGACGAGUGGCAGGCGGCGGCUGGUGUUGUCCUGACGUGGUGGAACGGGACCGCAGAGGUUGUGUCCCCUCUUUUUUCUAACGAUACUUUGGCCUUGUUUAGUUCCGAAAAGUGAAAAGUUUUCGAUUCUGUAGUAUUUUCGUUUGUUUGUGAUAAAUAUUAUCCAAUCAUGAACUAACUAGGAUCAAAAAACUCGUCUCGUGAUUUCUAGCUAAACUGUGUAAUUAGUUUUUGUUUUCGUCUAUAUUUAAUAUUUUAUGCAUGUGUCAUAAAAUUUGAUGUGACGAAUAAUCUUAAAAACUUUUUGGUUUUCAGAAUGAACUAAACGAGGCCUAAACGAGGCCUUUCCGGUAUACACAUCGAUCGUUGCAAAAGGACACAAAGACCUCAGAAAACUCGUUAGAUACAAACAUAGUACUCACUCCAUCCAAAAGAGUAUUUCCUAAAACAAGUUGUUUUCAGGAUGUCUUAAGUCAUAUAUAUUUUCAAUUUUAUCUACAGAUUGAGUUUCAAAAUAUAAAAAUGAUCAGAGUAGAUUUAUCUCAAUAUACUUUCAUAAAAGUAUAUUUUAUAAAUACUUUAUAUCAAAAGAAAGUGACCAAAGUUAUUUAAAGACCACAUCGAUAUAAAUGGCUUGUUUUAGGAAUCGAAGGGAACACUUCUCACUUUAAAAAUAUUAACAAUUUAUUUUUUAACCAAACUUAUAUAAAAGUACAGACACUUAUGAUUUCGAAUAAAAUGUUAGAUUAAUAAUGAAAUAUACUCAUUCAUUCUAAAUUAUAAGAUGUUUUGGUUUUUUAUCUAGAUAUAGGCUAUGUAUUAAAAAGUUAAAAUUAUCUUAUAAUUUAAAAUAAAAAGAGUAUUUAAUAGUCGCAUAAGUCCUGUUGCUUGCUUUGGCUCCAAGUCAUAGAACAACAUGUCUACUUGUUGAGGCCUUGUUUAGUUCCCAAAAAAAUUUACAAAAUUUUUCAGAUUCCCCAUCACAUCGAAUCUUAAGGCAUAUGCAUAGAGCAUUAAAUAUAGAUAAAAAAGAUAACUGAUUACACAGUUUGCAUAUAAUUUGCGAGACGAAUCUUUUGAGCCUAGUUAGGCUAUGAUUGGACAAUAUUUGUCAAAUACAAACGAAAUUGGUACUGUUUACAUUUUGCAAAAUAUUUUGUAAGGGUCAAAAAAUUCGUCUCGCAAAUUACAUGCAAACUGUGUAAUCAGUUAGUGUAGAUACACAAGGCGAAUAUGGACUUCCAUUGCAGCUUGACUUGGACGACUUUGAGACAUAGUCCUUGUUUAGAUCCAAAAAAAUUUGAAUUUUGACACUAUAGCACUUUCGUUUUAAUUUGAUAAAAAUUAUCCAAUCAUAUAGUAACUAGGCUUAAAAGAUUCAUCUUAUGAUUUACAGACAAACUGUGUAAUUAGUUUUUGUUUUUAUCUAUAUUUCAUACUUCAUACAUGUGCCGCAAGAUUCGAUAUGACUGGAAAUCUUGAAAAAAUUUUGGUUUUUGGGGUGAACUAAACAAGGCCAUACGUAGGUAUACUCUCUCUUGCUCGUGCAGCAAUAAAGCCUUGUUUAGAUCAAAAAGUUUUUGGAUUUUGACAUUGUAGCGCUUUCGUUUUUAUUUGACAAACAUUGUUCAAUCAUGGAGUAACUAGGUUUAAAAGAUUCGUCUUGCGAUUUAAAGACAAACUGUGCAAUUAGUUUUUAUUUUCAUCUAUAUAUUAAUGCUUCAUGUAUAUGCCGUAAAAUUCGACGUGACGGAGAAUCUUAAAAAAAUUUUGGUUUUUGGGUGAAGUAAAAAAAGGCUUAGGCCGUGUUUAGAUACGAAAUAUUUUGCAAAAUCGCUACAGUAAGUGUUUUGUUGGUAUGUGACAAAUAUUGUCCAAUUAUAGACUAACUAGGCUCAAAAGAUUCGUCUCGUAUAUUUCGACCAAACUGUGCAAUUAAUUUUUAUUUUUAUCUAUAUUUAAUACUUCAUGCAUGCGUCUAAAGAUUCGAUGUGAUGGGAAAUUUUGUGACGGGGAAUCUUCAAAGGCCUCCCACUGCCUCUGCACUGUUUUGUCACUGUAUUCCUCUGUCAAAUGUUGUUUAGCAUUGUACACGCGAAAAAAAAAAUCUUUGGCGGAGGAAAUCAAAAUCGACCGAGAGAUGAAACCAAAUCGAGAGAAUUAGAACUAAUGCUUCGAUGUCAAAGAAACAACAUGCAGGUGUACUGUGAACAUUGUUCGCCUAAACGACUAUUUAGACCGUUUAAACGUCGUGUAAACGCUAUACAAUGAUACAUCGUUCCCAUUUAAUCAUCCGAUUAGCUCAUUUAAUUGACCAUUUAGUCCGAAUAAUGGCUAAAUGGUAGGUGACUGAUUGUUUAGGAAAACAUUGAUUGCGAAUGAAAUUGUGCUUGUAUAUAGUGUGCUUUGCACAUUAACACACAACUAGCGGCGGGUGUGGCUCCGUUCGUUUGUCUUAUAAGCUAUACUUUUUCUACCAGUCUGUAAUGUUUUUCUCUCAUAAUAAAUUAGCGAACAAUACUCACAACUAGAGGCGGGCGUAACACGUGUUUGGCUCCGUUCGCUUGUAUUAUAAGCUAUAUACUUUUUCUACCAGUCGGUAGUGUUUUUCUCUCAUAAUAAAUUAGCGAGCAAUAUUUUCAGCUAUGACUUUUCAGACUAGCGCUGGACGAAGUAGAAGUACAUGUUUAUUUUCUCUCGAAGGUUUUUAUGUAUGACGUGCCUUUUAAAUUGUUGAAUUAAUUGGACACACGUUUCUGGAGGCGCCUUUGAAGAUGUCAUUGAAGAACUUUGAAAAUACACGUGGUGGAAGUUGAUCCUAAAAAUUUUUCUUUAAAAAAAUUAUUGGAGUAGACGAGUAGUGUAUCCACUUCCACCACUGUUGUGACUUUGUGAAGACGUUUUUCUACCACAGUGAUGAUGAUAGGCAGUCAGGCAGAGCACCUGCUGUUUUUUUUCACUUAAAGAAAGAACAACUGAGGUGGAGGAACCAAACCCGAAGAAGCUAUUCCUCACUUUAUUUAUCCCACACAAAAAGCGUCCACGAAACUUGGUCCCUCAGACCCUCAGGGCAGUCCCAAUGAAAAAUUAAUGAUAGUUUCUAUCUCUAUUAAAUGACUUGCCACCUAAGCAAAAUGGUGACAUGGCAGCCUAAUUAAUGAGGAAAGAGAAAAAAAAUGGAGAAAACGGUUUCUUCCAGAGGAAACGAAGUCUACUCUUGAACCGAGCAAGAAGAAACCGGAGGUUUUGCCGUUGGGAGGAAACGAGCAGCGUCUACAGAUGAGGCCCGCGAUGGUUCUCUCCGUGCUCGCACGCUGGUCGCCACGCGCCCUCACUCACCGGUCACCAAGCGCUCGCCCGCCGGCAGCCACGCGCUCGUUGGUGCCGCCGCGCCCGCCCGCCCACCAGCAACCCGCGGAGGAGCUGGCGUCUUUGCUGCUACGGGGAGAAGGAGAUGGACUCCAAUCUCCAACCGCGACAGCUUCAUGGACCUUGCCGAGUUUGUCGCCUUCCGUUGCAGCAACGGCGAGGAGUGCAGGGAGGACGCCACCGAGGCCAAGCUCCCCGUCGCCGCUCUCGCGCCGCUGCAUGCUGGCCAAGCUCGCCCACGGUGCUCGCCUGCUCAUGCUCAACUGUGUUGGGCUGUUGGCUACUCUCACGUGUGCGGCUGUGCUCGCCAUGUGCUAUGCGCUAGCUGCUAGCUGGUCACAGCUCUCAUGUCUGCGCAUGAAGAACGAGAGGACGAGAGAGAGCAUAGAAAGGAUAAGAGUCAGAGAAAGCCCACAUUUAUUAUGCAAAGACACUACUGUUGUGUGUGGAAUAGUUUCUAUAGGUUUUUUUUGACAAGGUUAUCAUGGAAAUCGUGCAUAGUUUUAACCAUUGGGACUGCCCUCACCCACAUCUCAUCAUUGAGUAAUAAAUAAAUAGUGAGUGCUCAUUUUUUUUAAAAAAAAACAGAUGCGACAUCUUAAACAAAAACGGAAGUACUAGUAUGAAAGAAAGGCACACACUUGACUAGAGAAUAAGGGUCCCUUUGGUUGGGCUUUUGAACCUGUUUUUGUUUUUGUAAAAGCCAAAAGCCAACCAAAGGGCCCAAAAGCCACAAGUGCUUUUGCCCAAAAGCAGCUUUUUUCGUAGUACAAAUCCAAAAGCACCCCACCCCUGUUUUCACUGACUUUUGGGAUCUGUUCAGUUUUUUUUUCCAAAAGCCACGAGUGACCAACCAAAUGACUUUUGGGUUUCUCAAAGCCCACAUCCCACAGCAGCUUUUCAAAAGCUCAAAGUUCACAGUAGCUUUUCCAAAAGUCACAGCCCAACCAAACACACCCUAAACGACAUGGUUACAGUUGUGCUGGCCAGACUAAUGGUGUGUCUAAUAAUUGCCCGUGGCGCGCAACACCAUGAUCUCCACGUCGAGUCCUGGUCCAAGACCUAGCAUUACGCCCAUCUCUCUACCAUUCUUCGAGCUCUGGAGGUCUUGGAGCACAAAGAUGAGCGAGGGCCCAGACAUGUUCCCGUACUCGGCUAGAACUCUACGACUUGCCGUGAGCUUGCCGGGGCUCAACUCGAGCGUUUCCUCGACGCUGUCUAGCAUGGCGCGCCCACCUGGGUGCACUGCCCAGAAGAAGUCGUUCCAGUCACUGAUGGUACUGCCAAGCGGCGCCAGACAUCCACCGCUCCAAAUUCUCAUGGAUCACGGCGGGGAUGCUCCUCGACGGGUGGAAGAGAAGGCCGCUGUGUCGGAGCUGGCCGAGGCCGACACCACCCUCGAGUUUACCCGCGGGCGCCAUCACCUGCGACGCCGACACCAGCUCGAACUUGGCCUGCGCCUCGCCAGCCACGGGGUCGGCGCCGACGACGACGACGGCACCCGCGCCAUCGCUGAACAUCGACUGCAUCAUCAACGUGUCAUUGUCGUCGGGCGCACGAAAGAGCAUCAGCGUGAUGAGGUCAGCGCUCGCCACGAGGAUGCGCGCGCCGCUGUUGUUCUCGGUGAUGUCCUUGGCCGCACGGAGCGCCGCGGAGCUGCUGGUGCAGCCGUGCAUGUACAGCAUGGUGCGCUGCACGGACGGGGGCAGACCAAGCAGUGACGCCAGACGGAAGUCGGCGCCCGGCAUGUGCCCUCCGGAGGAGUAGGUGCUGACGAUGAGGUGGGUAAUUUCCGCCGCCGGCCGUCCCCAGUCGGCGAUAGCCUUGGCUGCAGCCACCGACGCGAGCUCAAGGACGGCGGUGGCCAUCACGUCCAUCCGAGCGUCCAGGGACGGGGACGCACGGUUCAAGAACUCUGGGUGACCUCGUAGCAUUUCCUCCGUGUGAUAAAAAUAGCGUUUCUUUAUACCUGUUUUCUGACCUGAAAACAUAUUAGACAAACUAUUUAUAUAAUAUAUCUAUAUCUAUACCCCUAAUACUAAAGAGGUAAAAUUUCAGCCGUAUUUUUCGUCUACCCAGGUUUUCGUCUGGCUAUUUAUAAAUAGAAGUCUCCGAAAGCCCCACGUCGAUGACUUCUUAACGAAAUCCAAUAGAACAAAUCGAAUCCAAUACAAAUCAGGUUCAAAUCAAACCUCAAUCGAGGACCAAAUACAUGCCAAUUCAAGGCAUCGACAAUGUAUAGCAAAAAAAAAAAACGAAAAACGAACAGGGCCCACCUGAUGUCGCCGGCCACAAUAGACAACGCGAGAUCUGCCGCCCCGGAGGUAUCUUGGGCCCCAAGCCUGCUGCCCCAUCGGGACACAGGCUCGCGCUCGCUUGCCGCCGUCCGGGACGCGCCCUCGCCUACCGCCGCCCGGGACACAGCCUCGCGCUCGCCUGCCGCUGCCUGGGAUGUGCCCUCGCCUGCCGCGCCUGCCGCCGCCCGGGACACGGCCUCGUGCUCGCCUGCCGCUGCCUGGGACGUGCCCUCGCCUGCCGCCGCCCGGGACACGGCCUCGCGCUCGCCUGCCGCUGCCCGGGACGUGCCCUCGCCUGCUGCCGAGCCGCAGAGUUACAGAGCACCGAUGGGAUGAGACGCAGCGUGGAGAUGGUCGCGUGCCUAGAUACAUCGCUGAGCUCGCGUGGUCGCAGACUGCAGAUUGUCCGGUCGUGGAGCCAGAUACAUCUCCCCAGUCUAGAAAUUGUUUGGUAGUGAGGCCCACCCAUGCCUAGAUUUUUCUUUAGGUAAAAGGCUACUCCGAAAAAUAUGCUAUUCUAUGAUAUUGACUUUAUCACAUGAGUGUGAUUAAAUGAUAAGCUAUUGUGAAUAAUAUAUGUUAUUUAUCCAUAAGCACAAACAAUGAGUUAUUUAAUAGCAUGUAAUCCAUAUGAGAUAACACGUGUUGUCUAACUCAAUUAUAAUGUACCCAUGAAAGGUUCUUAUGAAGCAAAAGUAUAAAAAUAUCUUUAAAACUUGCUUAUAAUCUAUUUGGCAUAAAAUCAUUAACGUUUAGAGAAAAUAUAAAUAGCCUACUAAGUUCUAAUUGAAUGAUGAUGGUCCUCUAGAGAAAAAAAAUUAGAUUGAUAAUUAAUUACAUGACAAUAAACAUAGUAAAUUAUAAUCUUAUACCCGUACGUCCCAAAAUACAUCAUGUUUUUGACUUCUAGACAAAUUGUUUGAUUGUUCAUCUUAUUCAUAUUUUUAAUAAAUUAUAAAUAAAUUAUUAUUAAAUUAUUCAAACAGACUGAUCACAAAGACAUGUGGUCACAUAUGACAUAAUUGGUACAUUCUGUUACAAUGUAUCUGGUCACGAAGGUGUUCAUAGCAACAGACACAGAGGAAUUCAUGGCGCGCGUUAAACCUUUUUGCAGUGGGGUCUAGAGUAGAGUGAGGCUCCCACAUAAAUAAAUGUCUUAUUUCUAUUGUUGUUUGCCAUUAACAUGUAAUAGUUUUUCUCCCGUUGCAACGCACGAGCAUGUUUUGCUAGUAAUAGAAAAAAACAUAAUGUGUGAAUCCUCUCAUAUAUAUAUACAUACAUAAUUUAUGCAGCUUCUUUUUUAGGCCGACGUGGUGGUGGCUCUGGCUGAUGAUACCGAAGUAAUAGUCCGUGUAUUGAUCUCGUAGAACACAAUUAGGCGGCACUGACGUACCGAUUGACAAUACUGACGCAAGUCCGUUGGCGUGCUGUGCCUGACGAACCUUACGAAAGGCUAAAGAUGAGCAACGGGUGGCCCGGCCCGGCAUGGCACGGCCCGAUAGAGCACGGGCCCGAGUGGCAUGUCGUGCCGCCGUGCCGUGCCCUGUACAUUACGUCGUGCCCAAUGGACAGCCCAGGCACGGCACGUGGGCCGAUUUACGGGUCGUGCCAGCCCGAAGAGCACAUGGCCCGAAUAUGUAUCGGGCCAGCCCGUGGCCCAUAAUAAAUAAAAACCCCAAUGAAGAUAGAUAUAAAUUUAAAAGCAAAAAAAUUAAAUUUCAAGAUGAUUAAAUAUUUGAGCUGUUCGUGCAAUGUCGCCUCAUUAAAAACCUUUCUAGGUAAAACUCACACCUCGUGAGAUAAAACGCUAGAAAGGAAAAGAGCACGGCCAGCUCAUUGAAUUAAAAGGUUCAAUUGUUCAAAUAUUACAAACCAAUUAUCAAAUGUCUCAGACUCACUCUCACUGCCUCACAAGUCACACUCACACUCUAACUCUAGAUUCUGUAAGAAUAAUUCUCAAGCAGCAGAACCACCAGCUUCAUCAUCAAGAAACUGGUUCUUGAAAUAGUCUUCCAACUCUUUGUCCUCCACAGUGUGUUGUCCCUUCUCUUGGCCAAGCUCCCAGUCUUUGCAGCAUAUCAACAUCUCCACAGUGUCGGCGCCCAAUCGCCUUCGACGCUCCUCAAUGAUCCUGCCAGUAAGACUAAAAGUAGACUCAGAAGAAGUAGUUGAGAUAAGCACAGUCAAAAUAUCUUUAGCCAAGGUAGAGAGAAUAGGAAAGGUUAGUUUAUGCUCAUGCCACCAAUUGAGGACAUCAAAUUCAUCAUCAUAGGCCACAACAUUGUCACUGUCCACAUAAACAGUGGUCUCAGAGAGACCAGGGGCCGCAGCAGAUGAUCCAACACUUGAAGGACCAGAAGAAACUGAUCCUCCAAAUAUUUUGCCCCAUGCUCGCUUCCUCUUACCUGUGAGGCCAGAUGGAUGGGUGGUCCUAGCUGGCCUAGUUGAACCAAACUUAGAUUCAUAUUUGUCAAAAAGUUUAUGCAACUCAAAUUUAACCUCAGCAAGGUAGUCAAUGUAACUAAUAUUGUUACACUGACCAAGCAACUCAAGCACAUUUUGCAAACCUCUUAUCUUAGCCCUAGGGUCCAGAACAAAUGCAAAAGAAUAUAACAGUGGUAUAGUCUUCCAAUACUUAAGAAAUUUAGCCUUCAUUGGCACAACAACAGCAGCAAGAUUCAUGUUCAUAGUCAUGCAGAUGACCAGCAAUCUCAAGUAUGUGAUGCAGUAUCAAAUGACUAGUGGGGUAAUAAACACCAGAAAGUAUAACAGUUGAAUCAUAGAACAAUUCAAGAAACUCUAACACCUUUUCAGCAAUGUACCAGUGUUGAUCAUUCAACAAUUGAUAGCCACAUUGAGUAUUGAUGAACACAGUAAAGGCAGAUCUAUAUGGCAGCAGAUGUUUAAGCAUAAGAUAGGUAGAGUUCCAUCUAACAUCCAUAUCCAAACAAAAUUUACGAGGCCACAUAUCCUUAGCAAGACAGUAGUUCUUGAAGAGAACAAUGCGAUGAUUAGAUGAAUUUAGAGAGUUAAUAGCAGUUCUAAAAACUUCUAUGUACGGUUUAAGCCUUUUCAAACCAGAUUUAACAAUCAAAUUAAUUGUAUGACAAGCACAGCGCUGAUGCACAACAUGAUAUAUCUUCUUAGUACAAUCUAAGGGAUCAACAUCAUGGCCUAAGUAACCACCAAGCAUAGGUUUCAAAGCAAGCAUAGCAGUUGUAUUAGCAGAAGCAUUAUCAAGGCUAACAACAAAAACUUUGUCAAGCAAGCCCCAAUCUCUAAGCACACCGGAGAUACGUUCAGCAAUGUUAGUACCAUUAUGACUCACUUCAAUCAGUUUAAAACCGAUGACAGAUUUUUUAAGUUCCCAAGCAGCAGUAAUAUAAUGAGCAACAACAGUUAUAUAAUCUUCCUUAGCAUUACCAGACCAUAUAUCAGAUGUCAAACAAAUAGAAGACACACCAGGAAAAAUCACAUUUUUAAGGUGAUGCAGUUUUUCAUUGUAAAGCUUAGCCAGAUCUCUAGAGGUGGUAAAUCUAGAGACUCUCUUAUAUCUAGGAUUGUGACCACGCUGAAUGUACUCAUCCCAAGCAUCACAAUCAACAAUUGAUAAAGGUAGAUCUAAUCUAGCAAUCAAACGACAAAGCUCCUCCCUAGCAACUUCUGGUUUAUAUUCCCAGUUUCUAUAUGAUCCAUCAGGGUUUAAAGCAAGCCUACUUUGAAUCAGAUUAGCAUUAUCACAUUUCUUCUUGCAUGAUUUGUGAUGCCUAAGUAAAUGUCCAGUGCCAUGAGCAGAAGUACCAGAUAAACGAGACUUACAGAGCUUGCAAACAGCAAUAACACGCAGUUCACCAUCAACCGUCUCCCUGACUUCAUCAAAGUCAGCCCAGACAGGAGAUCGGCGCUUACUGCCGGUGGUGGACGAUGCUAGAGAAGCUGCAUCGCUAGUGGCAGGGGCCGCAGCAGCAUCAGAAGCACCAGGCGCUGGCCCAUCAGGAAUUGGAGCAGGAGCAGGCACUGCCCCAAACAAGAGGGCAGCAACAUCUGCAUCUCCCAUGUCGUCUUGGUCAUCAUGGAUUUGGCCCAUUGCCCUGAGCUCGUCGUUGAUGGUUGGCCCAUCGACACCAUCACCAUCAACGCUGGCCAUGACCACCCCAACUCUUCUCGGCACCGUUCCUCGACGUCAACUGCGGCACCAGCUACACACCAGCGACCUACAAACAUACACAGAAAGAACAAGGGUUAGUGUUAGGUUUAUGACAAGGCCUAGUAGAUCUAGGGUCAGGGAACUUGCCUGCACGGAGACGGAGCCCGGCGCCGGAGAAUCCGAGAAGAAACGAGCAGUGGCAAUAGCACCAAAACCAAACCGAGACGACCGGAGAAACAGAGAGGAAACGAGCAUAGAAAAAGAGAUUCAGAGAAGAAACGAGCGGUGGCAAGUCGCCGGCUCGCCGCUUAGGGUUUGGGAAGUGGGAACUUGCCUACACGGAGACAGAGCCCGGCACCGGAGAAGAGAAGAAGAAACGAGCGAUGGCAAUAGAGUACCAAACCGAGAAACAGAGAAACAGAGAAGAAACAGAGAAGAAACGAUGGCAAAUACCAGGACAAAGAGCCCUAACAACGGGAUCUCCAAGAUCUGGUAGUAGACGACGACGGAGGCAGGCGGCCAAGAUCUCAAGAUCUGUCGGUGGAGAUGGUGAGAGAGCCCGGUCACUAGGAUCUCCGAGAUCCGGCAGUGGAGGCCUAGAUGGAGUGCAGGACGACGAUGGAGGCAGGCGGCGGCCGCCGGCCGGUGGUGAAAGGUGAAGUGACGAAGCCGAGGAGGGGAUUAGGGUUUGGGGUGUGCAGCGCGAGGGGAGGGUGGAAGACUGGAAGUCUAGGGGGCGCCGCGCGAGAGCCGAAUGCGAAUGGGGAUUAGGGUUUGGAGGGGCACCGGGGCGCUGCGACGGGGGCUUAUAUAUGCCCCCCUCCUGAUCGGCCGGCCUCCCCUCGCCACCGGGCCGCACCGUGCCUCCCGUUGAUUUACGGGUCGUGCCGUGCCGCCCGGCGGUACGAGGCAACGGCGCAAGCACGGCCUGCUGCGUGCCGUGGGCCGGCACGGGCACGUUUGCCAACCGGGCCGUGCUGUGCUCGGGCCGGGCCGUAACACCGUGCUUUAGGCCGUGCCUAAAGCCCACGGGCUGCAUGCUCAAGUUUACGAAAGGCCACCGCGGGGCUCAUCAUUUGGGUGGCAAAACCUGCUGCCAUGUUGCCCUAGGAGAAGAUGGAAGACGAUGAAGCACACAACAUCACUAUCUCUACUAGUACUUAUAUACCCCAGGGUGUGGUGAAUUCUUUUUGUGUCAUUGUGUGGCAAUUUCCAGCACCUCCUUACCGAGUUACCGGUACCUAACGUGCUCCUCCAGUAGUCCUCCUGUCUCACCGACGGUACAUGAACUUUUGUCUGCCCGGAUCUGUCGUUGCUGCCCGUUGUAACCACAAGACAAGAGAUAAGAGCAGGACGACGGAUGCAAUGCAAACUUCAAUUGCCAUGGUGGCGAUCGUACACAAUGCUGAGCUACAAAGUACUGACGGCUGAUUUGUUGUGAGAAAAACACUGCUGAAUGACUGACAUAUUCGGCUGAUAAGCUCAAACGAGCAAGGCUUGAAUACGCAGCGCCAACACAACGCGCCAUUUAUUGGUUGCCACUGAAGUGUUUACUUUUAUGCAAACUUGGAUUCAUCAAGCCGAUGGUACGUACUCUACAUGCACUGCUCAAUGUGAAGACGAAACUGAGUCUCGCAGUGAUGAAUCGGCAGCGCCAAACACGACGCGCCAUAAUUGGUGCCGGUGGCUGAUGGAGAGGAGUACAUGUACAUGUACCAUGCAGCGUGCAUCGUCACCAUCUCACAGUCACUGCUGCCUAAACAUAUAAUGAUCAAUAUGAAUCAAUUUGAAUUAAAUCAUCGAUGCCAAUGGUACCAACGAACAAUCAUCCACUAAUUACCUAAUCCAAGUUAGAUCCUCUUAAGUUAGAAGCAACAUAAUAAAGCAUCCACUUUGCCGAGUAGCGGGACAUUUUGUUAGCCACCAAUGAGGUACCACGACCAUCGUUCCUAAGUAUAGAAUUAUCAAUAGGCUUAGGAGUGUCACCUUUGGACAAGAAUUAGCCAUGUGUCCUUUCUCCCACCAUAAGUAGCAAACUCUUUUUGAUGGAGCUUUCUUCUUGUUCAUCUUCUGCGUGCUAGCUUGCUUUUUGUCACUUACUUGAACCUUCUUCUCAAGCUUUUUAGAACACCCCAAAGCAAGGUGUCCCAUUUGACCACACUCCACUAGUAGAGAACCGAGCAGCUUUGAGCUUUAGUCUCGGAUGCCUUUGGGCCCGGGACUAAAGCCGGUUUUAUUCCCAGGUCCAACGACUAGUGCUGCAUGCUGAUCCCGAAGCAAGAAUUAGCCAUGUAUACUACUACUUUGACAGAUGAACAGAUGACUAAAAUAAAAGUUAUAUAUGUUGAUGAGUUCUGUAACUUUUACUUUGAUGACUUUUUCAGCUGAAAUCAUCUACUAUUUAAAAAUAUUUUUUAAGUGGUCAUUUUUUGAUAUUCAAAUUAUGAAUUGUUCAAACAAAGUCACAUGAAAAGAUGAUCAAAACAAAAGUUAUAGAUCCUAAAAGGUUAUACAACUUAGUAGUUGACAACUUUUCAUUUGAAAUCAUUUUGUUAAGGAAGACAAUCCAUUACUUUCUCAAAUUUGAAAUUUGCUUUUUUUUUUUUCAAAUGACCUCCUAUGGAGAAACAACCAAAAUGAAAGUUGUACAUCUCCAAAAGUUAUAUAACUUUAUAGUUGAUAACCUUUUCAUUUGAAAUCAUGCUAUCAAGAAAAACUAUGUUUGAAUUUCUUAAAUUUCAAAUUUGAUUUUUUUUCAAAUGACCUCAAAUGGAGAAACAACCAAAACGAAAGUUGUAGAUCUCAAAAAAGUUUUGCAACUUUGUAGUUGAUAACUUUUUUCAUUUGAAAUCAUCUAGUUGACGAUAAUUACAUCUAAAUCUCGAACAUUUGAAAUUAAAAGUUUUCAAACAAUCUCGGAUGGAGAAACAACAAAAACGAAAGUUGUAGUUCUCGAAAAGUAUACAACUUGUUGUUGAUAACUUUUCAUUUAAAUUCGUUUAGGGUCUCAAACACUCAAUUUAUGUUCGUUUGAAGAUAAUAUAAGGAGAAUAGAAACUCAUUAUAGACACAAAUGAGUGUGAGGUGCAAUGGUUAGAGAAGUACCAUGCGAAAAAUGCCGUGACUUGUGGGCUGCGAAAAAUGCAGGUGGGUGGUUGACCGUUGCGGACCUCCCUGGAUUAAGAAAAAAAAUGCUAUUUUUGGCUCAAAUUCGUGAUUUCUGCAAAAUGGAUACAAAUCAUGAGUUGUCCCUAUAAACCCGAUUUUGUAGGGACGCCUGCCCCUAUAAAUGUUUAGGAGCCUCCCCUACAAACCCGAGUUGUAGUAGUGAGAAUGGAGAUACAAUAAGCACCCGAUCUUUAUUUGAUUUUAUUGAAGUUCAAAGGGAAUGAAGCCAAAGACAAUACUUCUGAAGACAUUCAUGAAUUCUCAAGCGUGUUAUUAUGGUCAUAUAAAGUUAUGAUAUUGCUCUAUGGAUGUGGUUGUGUAAUCAACAUAAUAACUCUAUUAUAUCUUUUUCCUGUCAAACUUAAAAAUCUCAUUUUGGUCUAUGCGAACAUAAAAACUCAUGUAAUUAUUUUUAUGUAUAUUUCUAAAAUAUGCUACCUAAUGUUAUCAUGAGCAUUAUAUUAAUAAAUAUAAAAAUCAUAAUGUACUGAGCAAUAUGCUGUCAAUGCAAUGACUUCAUCUUCAAGGGGAUUCAACCAUCGCUUGGCAAUUGCUUCUAGUUGAGCUACGAGCAAGAUCCAAAUUUCAUCAUGCAAUAGCCUUAUGGCUAGACAACCGUACCUUGUGUAAUCCUUUUAAUUUUCUUCUUUUCGUUUUUUAUAUUACUUGUGUUUAUAUUGCAUUUCAGUUCCUCAUAUAUUAUACCAAAUCAUGUGAUUAAUUGUUUGAGCCCCUAAACGAUUUCAAAUCAAAAAGUGGUCGACUACAAAGUUUUAUAACUUUUUGAGAUCUACAAUUUUCAUUAAGAAGGUUUCUCCAUCCAAGGUCAUUUAUAAAAUUUGAAUUUCAAAUUUGAGAAAUUCAAACGUAGUUCUUGCAUGACAAGAUGAUUUUAAAUUAAAAAGUUGUCAACUACAAAGUUUCAUAACUUUUUAAGAUCUACAGUUAUUAAGGGAGUUUCUCCAUCGGAAGUCGUUUAUAAAAUUUGAAUUUCAAAUUUAAGAAAUUCAAAUAUAGUUUUUUGCACGUGUCUCCCUCAAUAACCACUGCACCACACUGUUACUUGUGUCUAUAUUGCAUUUCAGUUCCUCAUAUAUUAUACCAAAUUAUGUGUAAAUUAAUUGUUUGAGGCCCUAAACGAUUUUAAAUCAAAAAGUAGUCAACUCAAAAGUUUCAUAACUUUUUGAGAUCUACAAUUUUCAUUAAGAAAGUUUCUCCAUCCGAGAUCAUUUACAAAAUUUGAAUUUCAAAUUUGAGAAAUUCAAACGUAGUUUUUGCAUGACAAGAUGAUUUCAAAUAAAAAAGUUAUCAACUAUAAAGUUUCAUAACUUUUUAAGAUCUAUAGUUAUUAAGAGAGUUUCUCCAUCGGAGGUCGUUUAUAAAAUUUGAAUUUCAAAUUUGAGAAAUUUCAAAUGUAGUUUCUGCAUGAUAAGAUGAUUUCAAAUUAAAAAGUGUCAACUAUAAAGUUUCAUAACCUUUUGAGAUCUACAACUUUUAUUAAGGGAGUUUCUCCAUCCGAUGUCGUUUAUAAAAUUUGAAUUUCAAAAUUAAGAAAUUCAAACCUAGUUUUUGUAUGACAAGACGAUUUUAAAUCAAAAAAUUGUCAACUACAAAGUUUCAUAACUCUUUAAGAUUUAAAAAGUUUAUUUAGGAAGUUUUUUAUCCGAGGUCAUUUGAAAAAUUCAAAUUUUAAAAAUUUCAAAUAAAGACGCAGUUUUGCAUAACAAGAUGAGCUCAAAUGAAAAAGUUUCCAAACACAAAAUUUCAUAACUUAAGAUCUAUAAAGUUUAUUUUGGUUGUUUGAUCAUUUAUUCAUCCAACAUAGGGAUUCUAAUAUUUUUUACAAAUCUUAUAUAUCUCUCUUGUAGUUUCAUAAACUAAAAGAGAGAGAUAUAUAAAAUUGGUGAACAAAUUUAUUUUCACUUUGUCAAAUGAAGAAAUGACCAAAAUAAAUAUUGUAGAUCUUGAAAAGUUAUACAACUUUGUAGUUGAAAACAUUUUGAUUUGAAUUCGUUUAGGGCUUUAAAUUUUGAUUUAAAAUUUUCUUUGCUGAGUGUUUUUCGUUUAACACUCGGCAAAGAAGAAAAAACACUCAGCGCUUCUUUGUUGAGUUCUUAGAGCAACUCCGACCCACCUCCUAAACGAAUUCUAAAUCUAGAGACUUGAUCAAAAAAAUCAACUCUAACCCACCUCCUACUUAGCCCCUCAAAUCUAGAACCCCCAUCCAGUGGUCCCACCCACCUUCCUCUCCUCACCCAUCAAUCAAGACAUGAAUUACAAAUGGUGGAGUUGAUGGAGGAUUUCUUAAUGACAGAUGGGUCCCAUGUGAGAUAAGUAUUUGGUCUAUUUUUCCAUUGGAGUUAGGUCUUAAUUUGAGCAUCUAUUUUUUUAUCAUAACUUGUAAAUAAAAGUUUAAGGACUUAAUUUAGGGACUUAGGCUGGAGUUGCUUUUAGCCGAGUGUCUUUUCUCACACUUUGUGUUCUACCUAAUGACCAUCUCCGACAUCAAAGCACUGGGAAUCUAACGCAUCAAUAACUUUUUUUAUUGGCUACGCAGAUUGGGGUAACAUCAAAGGCAGCAUAGGAUAACAGAGAAAAAGAAAACAUAUACAUAUAGGAGUGACAACAGAAAACAUAUUAAGAAACUAACAUAGUAGCUGCUCCCUCCGGUGGCACUUGUUGACUGACUGGACCUUGUUCAUCGGCAAGACCAAUCUAUGCUUGAACACAGCAGGGGAAUCACAUCAACCCAUUCAUGCAGCAGAUACAUAGAGAAUAAUCUAAGUUGAACAAGAGUCCACAGCUUCAUUGAAGCACCGACGAAGGCCUUGUUUAGUUCAUUGCCGAAAUUUUUUUUACACUGUAGCACUUUCGUUUGUUUGUGGUAAUUAUUGUCUAAUCAUAGACUAACUAGGCUUAAAAUAUUCGUCUCGUAAAUUUCGACCAAACUGUACAAUUAGUUUUUAAUUUCGUUUAUAUUUAGUACUCCAUGCAUGUGUCUAAAGAUUCGAUGUGACGGGGAAUCUUGAAAAGUUUUUGGAUUUUGGGUGGAAGUAAACAAGGCCGAAGUUCCCAGAACGUGAAGCAUAUAUGUUUACCAAAGUACUUAUAAGGUGACGUACGAAGCAGGGUGAUAUAUACAUGUUCUUCCCAUUAAGGCCUUGUUUGGAUGUUGUCGGAUUUACCUCAAUUUACAUGUAUUAGAGUGGAAUUUAGUUCAAGUUCCACUCUAACUCACCUCAACACAUGUGGAUUGAUGUGAAUCCGACUACAUCCAAACAAUGCCUAAUUAAUUAAUUAAUUACGACCAUCGUCGUCUCUAACUAGGUCGAUGAAAUCAGAUGGAGUCACGCUCUGAAAGCCCAAGUUUGGUUUUGAUAAUUAAUGACACCAAGUUGCUAAUGUCUUGUAUUUAAGUGAUUUGAGUUAGGCAUAGCAACACAUGUGAUGAAGGUGCAUGGUGGCAUGGAAAGGUGGUCACAUGAUCACAAAAAGAUGAAGCAUGAAGUGAAGAUCAUGGUGAUAGACGAGGAGCAAAGUUAUCAAGGCAAAGGUAUAAACAUAGGGUUUUACUUUUGCCGGUCAAAGAUGAGUAGAGAAGCGAUUGACCGGGUUUAGGAUAGAUAGCCGACUAUCAAGAGAGGAAAUCACGGUCAUCUCUCGAAUCAAGUGCUACUAGGUUCAUAUCUUGAGCAUAUGCAUUAGGAUCUAGUAAAGUGCUAACAUAACUCCUUUGGUGAAAAUGUUUGUAAAAAGCUAACACACAUGCACUUUGGUGGUGGACACUUGUUGGUGUUAGCACAUUUACAAAGGAGGUGGAGUUCCUAGGGUUGAGAGGGGUGUGGGUUCCUCUCUCUCCCUCCCGCCGAGCUUGCGAGGCGGGAUUCGGCGCUUUUGAGAAAAUUAAGUGCAUAUUUUCUAUUGCGCCGAUGGGAAUUUUGAAGAAGUUGCGGGAGUGUUUUCUCAGUGAGAAACACUCACCGGACGCUGAGUGCGGAGGUACCUAACGCUUGCCUCAGAGUCCGGUGUGCUUAACCCUGCUAGGGUUGAGCACCGGACGCGCUCUGAGAGCGUCCGGUGGUUAGCGUCCGGUGUGAGGGCGUUUUGCAACCCUCUCUGUGUUUAAGUCCGGUGAGCACUGGACGCUCUGAGGUGCGUCCGGUGGCUGACGUUCGGUGACCCUGCAGGUUUGCGGAACUCUCUGCGCAUGAGUCCGGUGUGCACCGGACGCGUCCGGUGUGGACUCGCAGAGCGUCCAGUGUGUUGCAGGUAGCCAUUAGAAACUGACAUGCGAGAUCCCAGAGGGACAUGUGGCCAACCCCUGAGCACCGGACGCUGGGGUCGAGCGUCCGUUGAUCACUUGGUAGCGUCCGGUGCCCCCGAUUUCAGCCUAGUGAAAGUGGCCAACAGCUAGUUCUUUGAGGGAGCUUAUAAAUAGAGGGUGGCCGGCUUUGGGAGAUUAUCUCUUGCACAUUUGAUUACUUGAGACAUACAUUGAGCUAGAGAACACUCCCUCCACUCAUCUCCUUGCUUGAUUGCUAAUCCUAGUGAGAUUGAGUGAGAUUCAAGUGCAUUGCUUUGAGAGUUGCAUUUAGUGGCACUUGAUUCUUGAGUUUGCUAUGGAUUUCUUGUUACUCUUGGGUGUUUCCCGACGCCCUAGAUGGCUUGGAGCAGCGGUGGUGUUGAGCUCGUGAUUGGAGAUUGUUUCAAGCCUCACCAAGUGAUUUGUGAGGGGUUCUUGAGCCUUCCCCGCGGGAGAUCGCAAUUGGCUACUCUAGUGGAUUGCUCGUGGCUUGGAGGAUCCCCAUCUUGUGAGUGGAUGUGCAGCACCCGCUGAGGGUUUGGCUUUGGAUUGCCAAUUAGCUCGUGAUCCAUCAAGUGGGUGUAUCACCACAACGAGGAGUAGCUUGCCGGGAAGCAAGUGAACCUCGGUAAAAAAUCUUGUGUCAUUUCUUGCCGAGGUUUAUCUAUUGUGAUUGUGAUUGUGAAUGAUUGGUUGGAUAUAUCUCUACUCUACAACGUUGGUAUAACAAUCACUCUCCACUCCUUUACUUACUUGUAUACCUUGCUAGUUGUUUAGCUUGUUUAGUUUAAUCUUCUUAGUUAGAAGUGUAGCUAACCUUCUCUUGUUGUUGUGCUUUAGUGUUUAGCCUUGUACUAGUUUGUAUAGGUGGCUUGUAUAGCUUAGUUGAGCUAGUGCUAGAAUUGCUUCGCCAUUUGUUUUACUAACUCACUUGCUUAGUGAAGUUUGUAGAAAUUUUAAAUAGGCUAUUCACCCUCCUCUAGCCAUUUGGACCUUUCACGCUCGCUGCUUGUCGUUGAGAUCAGACGGAGUCGUCGCCGCUGCUGGUGGUGGUCGGGUGCUCGCUGCCACCGACCUUGGGCCCCUUGGGCACCGCCUCGUGCCCCUUGACCCAGAGCACAGCGUAGAGGCCCAUGACGAUGAGCACUGCGCCCAUCGCAGUGCCCAGAUGGAGCUCCUCGUCGAGCAGAGGGAACUGAGGACGGCCACCAUCAGCAGCAUCAGAGGGCUGAAGACGGAGGCGAACAGUGGGCCACGCUGCAUGACGCACCACGACAGGAUGACCAGCGCGACGACCGAUGCCAAAACACCCUGCGCAAAUCAUAGUCCUAGUCAAAUCCGAUCGAUCGAGAGCAUGUGUGUUGAUGCAUGUAUGCAUGUAUGGAUACGAUCGAACCGAGUAGGCGCAGGACAGGAGGCUGAUGUUCAGCUUCAGACGCCACUACGCGGCGGUUUUUUUGCCCUUAAGGGCAUAUGCCCUCACUCUCCCACCCAUUGGAUUCGCUUUGAGAAGUGUGCAAACACACAUCUCAAAGCAGUUUCACAUUGAGAUGUGCGUUUGCACACUUCUCAAAGCGAAUUCAAUGGGUGAGAGAGUGAGGGUAUAUGCCCUUAGGGGCAAAAUUAACUUUACCCUUGAAGCACAAUGCAAACACCGCCGACUGAAGGGCAGUCAUGGCGCACAUGAGCGCCGUGCUGGAGUAGUGGAACGGAUAUUCGCUGCUGAGCUUGGCCUGCACGACGAGCCAGAGCGCGUAGAAGAAGCAGCUGCUGACGCAGAGCACCGUGCCCAGGGUGUAGUUGGUGGUGGCGUCGCCGUGCCCGUCCCGCUGGUGGUGGUGCAGCUGGGCGACGAGGUUGACCUGGGUGCGCCACGGGGUGAUAUCCGCCCCUUGUACCAGGUGAGGAGCAUUGCUCCGGCGAUGCCGAGCAACGUCCCGGCCACCUUGGCCUGGCCAGACGAGAUGCGGAUCCCCAGCUCCUCGUAACGAAAGGCUACGGCAAGGACGAACAUCAUCGCAGGUAUGAGGUUUGGUGGUUGCGGAGGCGAAUGUGGUGGACGUGAACUUGAUGCCCGCGAUGUAGAGGUUCUGUGCCACUGAGCCCCUGCAAGCGUCAUAUCAUAUCAUAUCAUAUCAUAUCAUAUCAUAUGUAUCCGUACGUUUGAAUAUAUGAAACACAACACAUGCAUGAAACCGAGAAUACAGGCGUGGACAGACUCACCCUGCAAGGCCAGAGGCGAAGGAAAGGCCGAGCACCCUCCAUGUCAUUUUGGUCUGAUCCUUCCUGAAAGCAAAGAUGAACUGUUAAUACCAGGUCUGGUCAUGAUACAGAUCCCUGUGAACUUUUAUAGUAUAAUGAGCACAUGGUUAAGAUUUUUUAUUAUAUUGAAAUAGAUUUGGCCACGCUCAUAAAUACAGAGACACGGAUAUGGACGUAGAUUGGAUUAAUGUUUAAUGGGCUAUGAAUACCAACCUGGGGAGGGGCCCAUAAUCGGCUCCAUAUGGGCCUAGAACAGCUGCCCCUCCCGCCCCGGCCCAGGGCCGGGCCUGUUGGUGGCCACAUACAUAUGUAAUCAACAAUUCCUAUCCUAACAGUUUUGAUAGAAAGAAAGAGAGUACUACUAUUAUAUUAUAUUAUAUUAUAUUAUAUUAUAUUAUAUUAUAUUAUAUUAUAUUAUAUUAUAUUAUAUUAUAUUAUAUUAUAUUAUAUUAUAUUAUAUUAUAUUAUAUUAUAUUAUAUUAUAUUAUAUUAUAUUAUAUUAUAUUAUAUUAUAUUAUAUUAUAUUAUAUUAUAUUAUAUUAUAUUAUAUUAUAUUAUAUUAUAUUAUAUUAUAUUAUAUUAUAUUAUAUUAUAUUAUAUUAUAUUAUAUUAUAUUAUAUUAUAUUAUAUUAUAUUAUAUUAUACCGCAUAAAAAAAAUAUGGAGAGGCUUCGUCCACAGUAAGAGCAAGAUCAAUAAUAGAGCCAAGUGUUUGGCUAUAAGCCAAGUGAUUAGAGCCAAGUUAUACAAUAAGUUGUCCCAUACUUAUCUCUAAAACACCUUCUCUUUCCUAUUUCUUCUCAGAACACUUGUUAUUCGGGCCCACCACUACCUGCAUCCGUGCCCAGCUUGAUGCUUAUCUAAGAGCUAAGCUAUCAUCUCUCUCCUCUCUUCUCUCUUCCACAUCAUUAACUUGCAAGUCCAUUAUUGUACCUGCUCUAAUUUCGUGUGCGCGCCCGCCCGACUUACCGAAUUUUAUAAGAGUUUACAAUUAUAUAUUUUAUGGGUGUUAAAAAAAGUCACGUAGCUCAAUAUUUAAUUUAACUGUAGUAACACAUGAAUAGUAUGAGUUACGAUAUUUUUAAAUAUUUAUUUAUGCGGUUGGCUAAAGGUGGAAAAAAAACCAUUAUGAUUGUACUUUAACUUGUCACAAGCUUAAUAGGACAUCUAUUCAUGUCAUAAUUUCUAGAAAUAAAUGAUGAUAAAAGUUUUAUAUUGAUAGCCAAACUUAAAAAGGUUUAACUUGUUGAGAAACGAGAUGUAUAUUUAUUUUGGGAAUUACGAACAGCAGGUCGCGCAAAGUAAAGAGAAAUUAGUAGAGACGGUCAUUCGUCCACUCCAUCGCUAUUGCUGAUAAUGCAUUUUUUUACACUAUAUAACAAGGCCUUGUUUAGUUCCGAAAAUCAACUGGAUUUGGGUAUUAUAAUAUUUUUAUUUUUAUUUGACAAAUAUUAUCUAAUUAUAAACUAACUAUAUUUAAAAGAUUCAUUUCGUGAUUUAUAGGUAAAUUGCGCAAUUAGUUUUUAUUUUAUCUAUAUUUAAUAUUUUAUACAUGUGCCGCAAGAUUCGAUACGAUGAGAAAUGUUGAAAAGUUUUUUAAUUUUUAGGGUGAACUAAACAACGCCUGAAUCAAAGCUUGCAACCAUGAACAAGCAGGCGUCGAGUCCUCCGCGCCAGGAUCGUGCCGUGCCGUGCGGAACUGCGUAUGUACUAGAAAACUUUGGGCGCGGCGUUGCCGCGCCAGCUCAAGCUAGCCUUGUGAACUUUUUAUAGUGCCACUGUGAAUGUAGUAUAUAUUCCAACGAUGCAAAUUGUUAAAUGGCACUUAUCCAAUGGCAAUAUGAAGUAGUAGACCAAUCAUCAAUAAGAUAAAGUAAAUUAUAUGUAAAUUAUAAUACAUUAAAACUAACAGAGCAUUCAGGUGUUUCAUUUAUGGCAACUUGGCAAGGAUGGUGAUGACCAUAUUAUGGUUUCGAAAAGUACAUUUAUUUAAUUGAACAAAAAAAAUUCAAAUUAUGGAGUCAAAACCACUUCAAAGUUGAUUUCCUCCGGGUGAGAGUAGCUACCGGUGAAAAAAGAAAAGAGAAGAAAAAAAGGCUUAUAUAAGACAACGAUGGGUAUGUGCAAUUGGGAAGUAUUGGCAUUGCAUUGAUGCGUUAUAUUUAUCAAUUAGAUAAAGGAACAAUUUUGAUUAUAUAAGCUGUAUCAGGCUGCACACAAAGCGAAUUAUGCCAUGUUUGUUUAUAUUUUUUUUAUAUUUGUAUAGCUAUAUGAACGGGAUUAAACAUAAUUAUGAGUAUUUAUGUUCUUCUCAAGCAACUCAAGCAUUUUACAUAUCUACGCGAUGACUGAAGAUUACUUAUCCGGUUUGGUUUGUCAAAUCAUAUGUACAUUUAAGCUUCUUUGCAAAUGACAUGGAGAUAUAAGGUCUAAGAAAAUAACAGUAAUAGUACUAGGAGCAAAAGCAGAAUCAUAGUAUCAACCAUAUUAGUCAAGUAACAUUUAGAAGGAGAAAGUUAUACCAUCCGAGCUAGUUCUUGUUGGGCAAUUGCCAUACUUCGUGAGAUUAUAUAGAAAAGCAUAUGUAAUGCAAAGUAUAAUUACCAUACUCCCUCCAUACCCAUAAAGAAAAUCGUUUAGGACAACGAUACGGUCUCUAAAGUCUAACUUUUUGACUCUUUGUUUUUAUAAAAAUAUUUAUCAAAAAGUGGUAUAUGUAUAUUUUUAGGAAAGAAUUUUUCAAGACAAAUCUAUUCAUAUGAUUUUCAUAUUUGUAGACUCAACAACUUAAAAUUUAUUCAUAAUUUAUAUUUCCAAUGUUUGACUUAAACCUUAUUCAAAACGACUUUCUUUAUAAAUAUAGAGAGAGUACUUCUUAAAAUUACAUGUGUUUGUGAGCUUGCUAGUUAGUCUGUUACACGUGGAUGACAUGGAAAAGGACUAUGGCGUACCUUGUUAGAUGGGGUUGGACCUUUUUUCAAACACCUUGCAGGCAACACAGCGGUGCAUCUCCAGCGCCGAGGAAGACGAGGCCGCUUCCAAAGGCUACCGACCAAUGGUGUCUCCAGAGAGGGCUGUCGUGUUGGCAUCGGUGAGGCAGCCCUGCUGCGAACGGCCAUGAAAAUGGGGCUCUGGAUGCAAUCCCUACGAGGGUUGGGGACAGAAGCAGACCUAGGCCUUAGCUUAGGAAAAAAAUUGUAUGGACGAUGGGUGCAGCGUGCGGUAUGUGCGCCCCCAGGCUCGAUUGAUGCCACGUGGACGCCCAUUCCAUCGGAUGGCAGGUGUUUAACUCGGCUCUGUCCUUCCCAUCGGCUGCGCAUCGGCAGACGGCUCAGCUCCAUAUCGACUCGCUCGGUCCUUCCCCUCGCGACCCUCAAGAGCACGGCGCGGCCUGUAUCUGUGGUGGCCGGAGAAGAACAUGGCGGGGAGGUCGCGAACGACGACAGAAUGGCUCGACGAGGCGCUUCUGCUGCGGCGCUUGCAGCAGUGGUCACCCACACAGAUGAGCAGGGAGACGAGAGUGGCGGUGGUGGAGGAGCUUGUGCCGAUGCGAGGCUGUCCAUCGCGUCGCAGGAAGCUGGACGCGUCCUUGCCGAGGAGCUCGUGUCGACGCAUCCAUGAACUCGCCCUCGCAGCAAGCUGGACGCACCCUUGUGGCAAAGAACUUCUAUGCUAUGCCCUAGCUUGAUCGCAGGAAGCUGGACGAGUCCUUGCAGCAAAGAAUUUCUGUGCCCGAUCUCGAUCUAUUGUGACUCCGUCGGCCAGGCACUCGAUGUGCGGGCUCAACAUGGAGCGGCUCGACAUGGCCGAGCUAAGCCGCUGACUGCUAAUGAGGAGCCGAGAGAUCUGUUGUACUAAGAGCAAGUAUUAUGGUGGGCUAUAAGCUGGCUAAAUGCUGAUGUGGAGGAGAGAAGAGAGGAGAGAGAGGAGAAGCAGGCUGUAAGCUUACAGUCAGCUUAGACACAAUAACCAAGAAACUUUGUGAGAGAGAUAAGUGGGUCAUGUAUUAAUAGUAAAUAGCUAACUAUUGUAUGGGUAGGCUGGGAGAAGGCUGUGAGAAACCUUACAGUCAGCAAGUGAGCUGUAUUAUUAAACUUGCUCUAACCGUUGUCCCGUGAGCGUUGAUUGUUUUUCUUGCCACGCGUCAACAAUCGAGGCUAGGGGCGCACAGCCGGUUCAAUGAGCCCGUCGUCCACCCAAUUUGUUUCCGCUUAGCUUAAGGGGGCAUCACUGCUGCUCGUGGCUCAGGGCUGGCCUUGUGCAGUAGAUAUCUGACAUUAGCAGCAGGCAGCUAUGGAGGUCGGGUUCGUGGCGAAGCGUGAGGAAAUGGUGAGGGCGGCCUAAGUUGUUCAGAUCGAACGGCCAGAAGACCAACGGACGACGUGACACGAUCCAUUUGCGCCCCUCACAUCGCUAGCGCGACUCAAGACACUGGAAACAUUGGGAGAGAUAGCCACAUGGCAUGCUCGCCAGAGGAGAAGGGUCACUGCCGCUACGAGAGCUGAGGAAUGCUAGGUGACGAUGGUUUGAGGUUUUGAGCUGGAUUCAUCCCACACGAGUGCAGGGAGGAGUCGCAAAUGAUCAGGAGCCGGUGCAUAUGCUUGAUUGGAUGGUCGUCUGAUGAAAUUGCUGCUUAGGAUCCGACGGUGUGGAGCUUCGGAGGUGACGUGGCCAAAUAUAGUGCAAGAUUCUAUGGUACAACUUUCGUCUAGUAAAGAUUGUACAUUUGUACUCGUCACGUGUACGCGUCGAGUCGAUGCCAGUCAGCCCACAGGCCACAGGUAUGCAGUGCAGGUCAGAAGCCAAAGCGGAAAGCGGUCGCCGUCCCGACCUAUCCGAGGAAAGCUUGGCAAGUCCAAGGGCCAUUUGCUCGCCCAAAAGUAGUACGUACAGUUGUCGCGUCCCGUUGGGGGCGUGUCGCCGUGCCAUUUGCUUCUGGCCCCCGCUUGGCAGUGGGUUGAGGGUGCGCGGAAAGGCUUGUGCGUCGUUUGGAAGAAUUUGUGCGUCCCGUUUGGAAGAAUUUGAGGGUGCGUGAAAAUGCAACAGUAACGAAAUCCAAAAAAAUUUCACAUCUAAACAAGGCCCUAGUGCUAGAGUAGUACUAGAGUAGUAUACAUACUCCUAGGUAGUACUCCUACGAGCUUUCCCACGGAGUACACUAGCUACGAACCGAUCGUCGAUGACCAGGCGCCCUCUGUAGGUAAACAGCAGGGAGACUCUGACAUGGCAUGGAGCUAGCAGUAGCAGACGAGUAUCAUCUUUGAGUUCAUCAGUACCAUCAGUUAUUCAGUUCGGGAUGUAUUCCUUCUGGUGGUUAGACUGUCUCCAAUAAGAAUACAUAAACCCAAAAUACCUCGCCAACCGUGGUUUGCCUACCUAAAAAUGUUCUCCAACGAGUGACCCAAACACAAGAUGCAUUUUGCGUACCAGCCCGAACGCUACCCAAAUAUGUCUCGCCUCUUUCCACGAUACGCAAAUCUUCAACGUCUCCCUCGUGGCCGGCGAGGCGCCGCGCCCUUCCGCAACCUGGGAGAGAGAAAAGGGAGAGGAGGAAGAAGCCUCUGUCGUCCCCAACCCAUGCUUCGCUGCCGCGCGCUCCUCACCUGGUUUGCCUUCACCGGAUCUGGGUCCUCGAGGACCAGCAGCACCGCCGCCUUCACCGGAUUUGGGAGCGAGUUGUCGCGUGGCUGCAGGGGCAGGUGGCGUGCGGCGGGCCGGCUCAAGGAGGGGGGCGUCGUGCUUAACUAGGGAGGGGAGAGAGGGAGUGGGCGGCGCUGAUUAGAGUAGAGAGGGACGGGCGACGCUGGGUAGAGAGGGGAGGGAACAGGCAGCGUGGGGGAGAGAGAGGGACAGGCUUUUGCUUUGGGUACCGGCUGUUGGAGAAUCACAUUUUUGGGUUCAUGAUGGAUUUGCUGUGCGUGACCCAAAGUGUAGAAUGAGUCUUCGGUUUAGGUCUUCACGGUUGGAGUCAGUCUUAUCGCCAACUGCUAUACAUAAGUAGCAUCAUCUUACCUUAGCCCGAAAGUACUUUGAAUACAAUAUAUUGAUGCAAUUUCGUAUGAAGCGCAAGGUUUAAUUUGGGAAAACUUCUAACUUGCAAGUCGAACAGCAAAAUAACCCGAAAAUGAGGGAGUUGGGAGUGUCUUUAAUUUUCCGAGGCCAAAGAAUGAUUAAUUGGGAUGUUGCAUGUGAAGAUUUUGGUAGCAUUAGCAUAAAGUAGAGCCGUAGCUUCCAUUUCGAUCGAUACAAAAGAGUAUAUACACUGUGCGGAGGUUAGCGUGGUGCGUCACUAUUUGACCUUCCCUGUACAAGGAAGAAUAUCACUGUAUAGCAGUUGGCGAUAAUCCGAAAUGUGGUCCAUUGACCAAAAACUGAAUUAUAACAAAUAAAAAAGUCUUCAGCUAAAUUGAGAGACGAAAACUUCCUAGCCCUAAACUAAGACAUAGCACGCACUACGAAAAUGGUGGAGUUCUCCUAGUGUUUUUAGUUAGUAAUAGAACACUACCACUAGUCAAACACUAGGGAAUCCUCACUAGGAGGCAUUUACUAGGGAAAGUUUAUACUAAAUUUUAAAUGCCAAAACACUAGGAGAACCCCACAUUACUAGGAGAAAUUGAAAAAUUUGGUUGUGACGUACAAUAGUCUAGCAAUAGUGAUGUUGAAAUAUUAAAUGCGCUAACUCAUAUAUAGGUAAAUAGGCUACAAACUAUUUAGUACUCUUUCCGUCCUGAAUAAAUCAAUCCCUAGAGCAAGUCAAAAUUUUAAGGUUACCGAAUUUGACUUAACACAGUUCUUGAAUUUAUUUAUUUAGGAAGAGAGGGAUCACUCAAAUCUUUACUUGCGUCCCGCCCUUGAAAAGUGUGCCGAUCAGAAGGAGAAAACUGCGGCAAUCACUGUAAAGAGUAUGUGGUUUAAAGAAUUAAUUACUGGUGUAAAGUACUUUGCAAGAAUGUGUGAAGCUCGCUAAAUUUGUAGCUAGCAAAUCACUGCCUAUAGUUUCUCCAACAGGUCCUCCCAAGUUCAUCAUGGAUUUCUUUCACUUGUAUGUAGGUGGGCACACAAUAUUACAUAUAGAAUGCAUGAAAUAUGACGAACCCAACCAAUACUGUGAUUUCUUCUUAAUUGUUUCUGUAUAUUGUGCAUGCUGAAAUAUAAAGAGUAUGAUAAAUAUGCAAACAUGGAUUAAUUUUGGGGAACUCACCAAAUGAGGAACUGGUAUGAGAGAAAGGGUUAAAUAUUGAAAAGCUUGCGAAUUGGAUGUUAAAUACUGAGAGGCUCGCGAACUCAGGGUUAAAUAUUUCCUUUCACCGUGAGAGAUGGGGAGGUUUCGCGAGAAAGAGACGAGGGAGAGAGAGACAGUUGUGUGGACGCUCGAUUGAGGCCUUGAUUAGACCUUGUUGCCUUGUUUAUAGUUAGUGAUUUUUUUUGAUUUGGCUAUUAUAGCACUUUCAUUUGUAUUUAAUAAUUACUCCUUUCAUACUUAUAAAAAAGUCAUUUAGGAUAACAAUAUGGUCUUCAAAGCUUAACUUUGACUCCUUGUUUUUAUAAAAAAUAUUUUAUCAAAAAUGGUAUAUGUAUAUUUUUAUGAAAGUAUUUUUCAAGAUAAAUCUAUUCAUAUAGUUUUCACAUUUUCAAACCCAACAACUUAAAAGUUAUUUAUGAUUUAUGUUCCCAAUGUUUUGACCUACAUCUUAUCUAAAACGACUUCCUUUAUGGGUAUGGAGGGAGUAUUGUUCAAUCAUAGACUAACUAAGCUCAAAAACUCGCAAAUUACAGGUAAACUGCGCAAUUAGUUAUUUUUUAUCUAUAUUUAACGCUCCAUGCAUAUAUUUAAAUAUUUGAUGUGAUAGAGAAUCUUGAAUUUUUUUUGGGAUUUUAGGGUGAACUAAACAAGGCCUAGAUCCUACCUAGAAAAAAGUAGAUUGUAUCUGUUCACUUGAGCUUAUCUGCCAAAUCUACCAGUACAUUCAAUAGUGUUUUUCUUUUAUAAUAAAUUAGUAAAUAGUACUUUCAGUCAUAACUUAUGAGACAAAUAAACAUAUAUGGUUGAGCAUGCGCGCCAUAUGUGACGUACAACGUAGACAAGAAGAAUAUGAGAGAUUAAAAAAAAAGACAUGAAGCAGAACAGAGUUUUUCAGCACAUGCAUGUUUCAAUGUUUGUGAGGCCUUGUUUAGUUGGCAAAAUGAAAAGUUUUAGGAUACUGCAACACUUUUAUUUGUUUGUGGCAAAUAUUGUCGAAUUAUGGACUAAUUAGGUUUAGAAGAUUCAUCUCGCGAUUUACAGACAAACUAUAUAGUUAGUUUUUAUUUUUGACUAUAUUUAAUGCUUCAUACAUAUGCCACAAGAUUUGAUGUGACAAGAAAUCUUGAAUUUUUUUUGGUUUUUGCAUGAAUUAAACAAGGCCUCAGUGGAACACGCAAUAUAGCCUGUUUUUAAUAGUUCAUCACAUGACCAAUAAUGCACCCAUAUUGAUCAUGAACCGGCCGGGCCUGGAUGCUGUAUACGGCUCGGAGACGACGUAGAGUAGAGCGUGCACGCGGCGUACGUACGGGUACAACGCCGUAGGAAGGGACCACGUGGCAAGCGUGGAAAGCACCUCUCAAAAAAAAAAAACGCCGUAGGAAGGGGCGCACGAGGCUAACGGCAUGACGGCCCAGUGGGCCUGACCUUGUUGCUAGGCCCGUGGAGACACGGCGUAAUGGGCAACAGAAGCCCAGAUUAGGGUUUCCUCUGCUUCCUGCUGGCUCACUGCCGUUCCGCCCGCCUCGCUCCACCACCGGCGGCCGCACGCACCGCUGCCUGCUGGCGUAGGAGCACAGGAAGCCCCCGCGGCCCCGCCCCCGUCGACCGAAGCCUCUCCUCUCGUCGAGUGGGCGUCUAUCUCUCCUUCCCCUCAGGUACUAUUAGACUCGCGUCCGCGUGGUUCUUCACGUCACUGUUGCAGGAACUUUUGUUUUCUGCUAUGAUUGAGAGCAACCAAGAACCAAGUCCAAUUCAUUUCAUUCGAUCGGUUCCAAUUUCCUUUGAUGCUUGGUUCCCUGCUAAUCUAAUCAUCCAUCCUUGGUUCGAUUAGGUUCUUGUUCUUCAGUGCGCGAGAUCAAUCCACUGAGGCGGUGGGUGCAGUUAAUUUCCUCAAAUUACAUUGGGGGAGUUCAGCUGAACCGCGUCAAUCGCGCCUGUGCGGGCUAGGCAUCGUAAGAGCCUUGGCUCGCGGUGGAGAUGGGGAAGGCGACACCAAGAGUCCGGUAUGAUAUCGACAUUCCCUUGUUUGUUACUCCGGUGGUAUGAUUGGUGUGAAUGGGGACGCCUCGAGUGCUCAGUAUUCUGAAUGAACUGGAGCAGUUAUAUCAUUUUGAAUGACAGCAGUGUAAUUGCAAUUCGUUGUUUUCUCUGCAUUUAACUAGUACUUUUUCCUGCCCGUUUAGUCCAAUGUGAGUAGGAGUACCACUUACCUUGUGCAUGUCUUCUUCCUAUCAUACAGCUUAACAAGUUCAGCUAGCCUGGUUGCCACAAAUUGAGUUACAGUAUACUUUCGACAGUGCACCUUGUCUACUUGUAUUCUUUAUUCUUUGGCAUCUGAACUUUGCGUGAACUGCUGUAGUUAUGAGCCUGGACCAGCUUUUGAGGAGGUCAAAGAAGAAGCCAUGCUUGACAUAUCACCAACAGACUCGACAGAGUUUUGGUUAAUUCAGUGGCCUAAAGACCAGGUAACAUCGAUCUUUUGCACCCUGGUAGUGUUCUUAUAAUGUGCUGCAAUCUUGGGUGUUUGAUAUCUUAGUGUUUCGUUGUGACAAUGCAGAUAGAUUUUUUGGAUUUUCAUGGCAAAGAGCUUUCUCUCAAGCUCCGUAGUGAUGGAAACUUGGGCAGCUUGGAAAGUUCCUCGGGUAACUUAGCUGAUAUGGACUGUUUUGAAGUUUCUUUGACUUGUUUAUAUGGUUUAGUUGCAUUUCAUCUUUCUGGUUACUCAUACUAUGUUUUGGGUAUCGUUCACUACAACUUUGGCAAGAUUGGUUUCCCCGAAAAUCUAUAUCCUAAUACUAGAGACAUCAAUGCAAAUAAUUGCAUUUCCAUGGCAAAGAUUGUGUCCCGAUCUCUUUUUGUAUAUUUAUUAGUGUUUCAUAACCUAAACCUAAAGUCCUAAACAGCUGGAGUUUUAGUUUGUGGUUAAACUAUUCUUCUACCAAUUUCCUUGUAUAAUCCUUAUGUCAUUACGUGGUGAACUAUUAUUUAUGGGUUCUUUAGAAUACAAAUUGUAAUCAAGAGGGUAUGACUUACAGUCUUUUUUGUAAAUAAGACAAUGCUCAUCAUCAAAAUUUAAAAGUUUGAUCAGUGAAAUGAAAUUUUCUUGUCAUCUUUAUCAUGGACUUAUGUCUCAUAGCACCCCAUUAGUAAGUAGCGUUACUGCAGUCAGUUGUCAUGUGGAAAACAUCAUUUUUUCCAAUUGUUGUGUCAAAUAAUUGAAAUUGUUUCACAAAGACAUAUAAGCUGCUGCUAAUGCACUUAUUUUGCCAGGAAAAUCUUAUGAGCUUGUGAGCUUUGCAGCUCAGAAGCCAGAUGCAACUGUCUUCCUGCCUUCAGGGUCAGAAACAAAGCCUGGUAUGAUGAAAUACCAACUAAUUCCUUUCAUUGUGUGACUCACAGAUGAUUUUGCCUCUUCUAUUAGAUAAAAAUGUUACUAAAAUAGUGCUGCAUAUCUUCAUUUUUGGUUUCUUGGGUUAGUUUGACAAGCCAUAUGGCACUGCAUUUGAUGGCUUGCUCUUGAUAUAAACUCUUAUUUCUUGCCAUUUGCUGAAGCACUAAUUACUGUUUUGUGUAUAUUAUGACCCUUCUGCUACAAACAAAAAGGACUAUGCAAAGUCAUAUUGAGUUUUGAAAUUUUUUUUUUUUGUCUGCUAUGUUACCAAGGCAGUGCACUAAUGCUACUUGUUAGUUUGGGUGGUUUUGAUCUUUAAGGAACAUAGUGAAAUAGGAAGAGGAGAAAUAGGACAUGAUUCCCAUCUUUGAAAGAUUAUUAUCUCAAAGUGUCAAACUUGGAGAUAAGGCACACUUAUAGUUCUCUGUUUAUUUAACGAUAGCAACUGAGACUCAGUAAUAUCUUGGGAUAAUGGGAUAUGUUGUUGAAAUAUAACAGUCGAAAUGUGGAAGUUGGAUCAUAUGCCUGCCAACUGAUGAAGAAUAUGUCUUCACUAAAACCGUUAUUGUUGUAAUUCUGAUGAAUCAUUGCUAUUCCUCAUGGCAUAAGUUUGACCCGAUCAUGAAAACAACUGGCAUGGCACUAUCAGUGGCGGAUCUAUGUAUAACCUGUGGGGCCCUUUGGCCCCACAUGUUUUGCCAAAAUAUGUUUACCUUCAUAGAAUCUGCAAUUAUAUAUAUGUUAAUUGUGUAAUUCUUGUGUUAAUUGAUUUAAAAUCAACUAACCUGGCCCCACUGUUUUUGAAUUCUGGAUUCACCACUGCUAUCAUUUGAUCAUGUAAAACAUGGAAAUUAGUCUAAAUCAAUGUUCUCUUUCUUAAGUUGGUGUGUGAAAUCUGUAGUAAUUAUGUUUAAGAUUUUUUUAAAGAAGCUCAUAAAGAAAACAGGGCUACAAGAUAAACAUACUCUGCUUAAAAAUCAUAAUGGUUUUGGCAAUACUAGAGGAAAAUACCAUCACCUUCUUGUGUUAGAGGCAUAUUUUGGCUUUUCUCACCAACAAUUCAUGUUGUAUGUUCUUUUUAUGCAAACAUUUUUCUCACUGACAAACAAAUGAAAUACAGUGGGGAAGAUUUCACGGCGAGUCUCUUUAGUUCAUUAUCCUAAACCUGAGGAAUUGGCUAAACCAAGUUUUGGGAGUCUUACUCCUAGCAUUAAGAAAUCUGCAGGUAAUUCUUUCUUAACAUAUGUUUUCUUCGCUGAUCGCACCUUUCUACUGCUAGCCAAGUUAGGCAGGAUAUGGUGUUGCGGAUAGAUACUGGUCGAACUUGGGGUCUUUCAUGUCUGACUGUUUAAUCACUGCUUGGUUUUCUGUUGAAAUUCUUAUUGUCAAAACUGAUCAACAAAGAAAAGACAAGUCUCGUCCAACUGUAUUAUCAUCUAUUUUGGGAACCGCUAGGCAUACUACUUUUUUCUUGAUUUAUGUUUCCAAUGCUAGUUAAAAAAAACUGCUCUUUUAUCCUAAGAAAAGUAGAUACACUAUAAGAAGUUAAGGAGUAUGGACUUUGGCCAAAAAUAUCCAUAAAAUUUAGUAACCUUUCUGGCGUACAAUGUUUUGAUGAUAUACUCUUAUCCAUUUGAGUUUACUGAUAACCGAUGCCUCCUUCCUGUAACUUGCAUCAGUCAAAAGAAAUGCAGCCAGUUCUCUUGCAUGCCAUUCUUCUUCUUUUCCUAAGGGACAUCUUUGUUGAACUGUGGUUGCCCGUGUUCCCACUUUCACAGGUUCUAAGAAGACCAUGUCUCGGUUCACUAGUGCAUCAAAGAACCGCAGUAGCCAAGGUUCGGCGCUUUCACUGGGCCAAAGGAGCGCAGAGCCGACAUCCAAACACAAGGGAAAGAGAAAGGAUGAAAGCAGCCUGGGGCACUCAAAUGUAUCAGGCAAGUCCUCGCAAGGAUCUCAGGCUGGAGGCGUGGGGAGCAACAUGGCCUCCAAGAUGCCACAAUCGCCAUCAGAAAAAUCACAGAAGAAGAGGAAGAAGGUUAAGAUCGUGGAGUAGUACUGUAGUAGUGUCAACUUGGCAAGAGAUCAAUUUCCCUUGAACUAUCAGUAGCUGAGGAGCUGUGCUGGAAGUUCACGUUCAAGUUUCUUCAUGCAUUUCUGGUUUCAAAUUUUAUCCAUUGAGAAUGUUUUGCUGGAGUGUGAGGUGUUGUUUGCCGGAUCGGAUGAUACGAUACCUGAGGCUUAUGUUGGGUUGUUCCUGUUGGUGUGCUGAGCUGAAAGCAGAAUCCUAGCAGCUGCUAUAGUGCUAUUGCUGCGUGAGCAUCUGAAAGCCUCUUUGAGUUCCUUGUUCUCGUUAACCUGAGCAUCAUGCCACUGCUAAACUCGUUAAUAAAUUCAUAAAUGCUCGGACGUCUUCUAAUUUCAAAUUGGUAACAAUUCUGUUGACAACCGUUACAGCAUUACAGUAGUCAAUUAAUUCAGUUAUCAUAAUAGAGCUGGGCAUCCUGAUUUUCUGAAAUGCUGCAGUGCGCCAGUGCGUAAAAGGUGAAAGUUCUUGAAGCUACAGCUGCAAGUACAGCAUGACAUUAUUGUCCACGAUGCCAGCAUCGCAUUGUCGCCACCUAAUGCUCUCAACGGAGUGCAGAUGUUGAGAGAUCAAAUGGUGCGCGCUUACUACUCUUCGAGUACGUGGUAGAACCUCGUGUGCACAGGAUUUUGGCUGCGAUCUUCGCUCGACCUGCACACGGUGAGCUGAGCCUCUGGCGACGCCUUCUGCAUCACCGACACCCAGCCUUGGAUGAUGUGCUCGUCUACCGGAGCUCGUCCCUCUUCUCCCACCGUGACCAGCACCAGCUUCUCCAGGGCAGGGGCCCUCUUCAGGAGGAAGGCGAGCAGCUGCAGCUCGAACCUCGUCCCUCUGAAAUUCACCAGCUUGAUGAAGCUCAGGUGGUCAAGGACGAAGUCGAUGUAGGGAAUCACCAUUCUUGAGUCGUCGACGACCUCGCCGGCCAGUGCUGCCGCCGCGUCGCUUGCAUCGGUAGUGUCGCUGGGGAGCUGCGGGUUUCACAAAGUAAAAUGUCCCGGUUCAGAAAUAGUAGUAUUCGCUUGAACCGUCGCACGUGCAAAUUUGGAGGAUGGGCAGCAGCAAAAAGGCAGAGCUUUACGUUGACGAACAAGCGGUCCAGGAGUGGAAGCGGGUUGAUCUGGAAGAAAGAGGCGAAGCUCUGCAGGUCGUCACCUUCACCUUCCGAGGACAGCAGCAGCUGCAGCUCUUGUAUGUUCGUCAUAUCAAUUUCCACACCCUCAUCGUAACCUAGCUGUGCCCACAAAUGCUGAUCCGCGAGUACAAUUAGUGAUCAGUAAAUUCCAUGGCAUUUCCACAAUCUUAUACUCUUCUAAAGCUAAACCCACUAGAUGAAUUCUCUCUUCAUGCAAGGUGUCCACAUCAUUUCCCACUAAGUGACCCACUAAAUGUUCUAUCUCUUCAUGCAAGGUGUCCACAUCAUUCCCCACUAAGUCCAUGUCAUCACAUACUAAUUACAAAAAAAAUUGACCAUGUCAUCUAUAUCAUGUAAAAUACUUUAAAUCUUUAAUCUAUUAACAUACAAGUCAUGUACAUACACUAUUUGUUUCAUCACCAAUUCCUCAAUGAUGUAACCAAAUAAUAGUUUUUCUUCUAUUAGCUUAGCAGUUUUUUUAUUAGAUCUAAUACAAUAAAAUACAUGCAAGUUAAAUUCAUAUAUAUGUAUAUAUAUAUAAU